UUUAUCUAUGUUGGUCCUUCUUUCACUAAUGAUCUAAUUAUCUCACCCCUACCAAGCCAAGCUUUCUUGAGGAGGCUGGGCUGGUUCCUUUUCGGAAAACCGCCUUUUUUUUAUACUAAAAGCUGCCAUGCACGACCAAAUAGGAAUGCUUUCAGCGCCCCUCUCUAGAGAAGAAGCAAAAAAAACGCGCCAUCACCUACAGCCCUCUCCUCUGCCGGGGACGUCCAUGAAAUGAAAACGGGCGGCAUUGUCGUAUAGCUUUUUCUCUCCCAAAAGCAUUUUUGGUGCUUAAUUACUUUUUCACCCCUCCAAUAACAUAGUACUUUCCUUUUUUUUAUUGGUGCUUAAUUACAAAUAUGUUAAAAUCAUUAAUUAAAAAUAAAAAAUAUUUUUUAAAAUACUAAUUAUAAAUAUUUAAUGGUUAUAUUUAAAUAUUUAAAAUAUAGUUUAUAUAUUCUAAUUAAAUUUUAUAAAUAAUUAAUAUUUAUUGCUUAAAAAUAUUUAAAAUUUAUAUUUCAUAUAUUAAAAUAUUAACAACAAGUUAUAAUGAUUUUUUAUAUUCUUACUAAAAUAUAAUAAUAUUAACUAAUUUAAAUAUUAUUUAAAUACAUAUUUAUUACUUGAUAAUAACAUGUCUAAAAUGAACAUUUUAUUUCUGAAAAGCACUUUUUGACAGCAAUGCUAAACACUCAAAUUUUAAACAAAACUUUUCAAAAGUACUUUUCAAAAGCACUUUUCCGUAACACUUUUUAAAAGUAUUGCUAAAGUAGCCCUAAGUAAAUUUCUAAAAGAAGAUCUUUUUUUUAUCAAACUAUUUCUCAUAAAAAAUUAAAAAUAUUUUCCAUAAAUUAUUUUUUUAAAACAAUCACACCUUAAAAUGCUCGAUAUUUGCAAAUUUGGGAUGAUAAUAGUCCACAAUCUUAGCAUUUUUCAGGUUGACUUUUCACUGUAUGAAUUUGUUCUGUCAAAGGAAUAAUAACAUUAUUUUAAUUAUAUUAAUACCACCAUCUUGAAAUAAGUAUUUAUAAUUUUCAAAAACUUAAAAUUUAAAAUUUAAAAUUUAAAAUUUAGUAUUUGUAUUUUUAUUUUUAGAAAUUUAAUUUUUUUUAUUUUUAAAAUUUCAAAAUUUAAGUCCAAUUAUUAAUCAUAUUAAAAUUAUUUUAUUAAAAUUAUGUUCAUAUCAUUUUUAUUUAUUAGGUUACUAAAUAAAUAUUUUUUAUUUAAAAUAUCAUACUAAUAAAUUUAAUAAAAUAUUUUAAUAAUAUUAACUAUUACAAAAAUUAAAAAAAUAUAAAAUUUUAAAAAUAAAAAUAUAAACACUGAAUUUCAAAUUUCACAUCUCCCUUCCUCAUUAAUAUAUAUCUACACGAAUAUUAAAAAGCAAAGUAGAGAAGUGAAUUAACGAAGUUUCAGACAUAUUUUUUACCAAAUUUAUAAAAUCAAACUUCUUAUUUUUAUAUUGAAUUUUACUAUAUUUUAAAAAAUUGAGAGCCAUAAAUAAUUCUUUUUUAAUAGGAAUAUAAAUAUUUAAAAAAUGUUGCAAAAAAUACACCAAAUUAAGAGGAGCAGGCCCACCAACCUCUUGUCUAAAUCUUAACUCCCUUUCUCUGUAAUUUCCUUUUGGUACAAUUAUGUUAAAUAAUGGUUGAAUUAGAAAAAAUAUAUUUCCUUUACAAGUAGAAAAUGACAAUAUGAAACUUAAUUUAUCAUAACGGAUUGAAAGUAUAAUGCCGUGAACAAGUGGAAAAUGACAAUAGCAAACUUGAUUUAUCAUAAUAAAAAAUAAUGGAAGUUGCACAAUAUAAUGUUGUACAGAUGGAAACAAGUUGUACAAAUGAAGUUAAGUUGUCCAGCCUAGGAGAUUGUCGGCGCUUGACAGAACUCAAUGGGAAACAAUUCAAGAAAGAAAAGAUUCGUUUUACCAUAAGGAAUAUAUCAAUGACGUGUUGUGAUAAUGCCUCCCCCCCCCCCUCGUUUUUAAUUAUUAUCUCUCUUUGGGCAUCCUCUUUCCACCACAUCAAUACACCUUCCCUCCACUUCGAAGGUUAAAAUUCCCAUUAAUUAAUUCCGCUCAACAUGUAUAACUCCACAUCCGCAUAAGUUUUGGUUAAUUAUAACCACACCUCAAAUAAAAUAAAAUAGUAAUUAAUUUUUUUUUUCAUAUUGAAAUAGUUAUUUGGUGGAAAUAGAAUAAAUAAGCAACAAAUAUUAUAUAAUUUGGUUGGUUGAAUGGAAUAAUCCUUAAUAAUAUUAUAUUGUUUGGUUGAUGUAGAAGGGAUUUUGAAUUUGAUUUAGGGUCUGUUUGAUAGGGGAAAAAUAUUUUUCGAAAAACGUUUUCCAGAUUUUACGGUGUUUGUUUUGUUGGAAAAUGAAUUCCUAAGGAAAACAUUUUCCAAAACACGGGUAAAAUCAUUUCAUUCUUUCCGGAAAACGUCUCACCGAUUUCUAUGGGGUACGACAUUUCCACAGCUCAUCUCUUCACUCUCUUCACCCUAACGAUUACAGCCUCAUCAUCUCUGCCUCGUCUUCUCUGCUAGUUCACCUCUUCUCUUUGCUUGCCUCGUUAGUGUGCUGGUUCACCUCUGCUGGUUCAUCAAAGGUAAAAUUGCAAGCUCUAGGUUAGGGGUUUCUUCUGCUCGAGUUUGGUUUGUAGGGGAUCUGUUGGUUUCUGCAAGUUUUUGAAGCUGGAUGUGUUAGCGGUUUCUGUAUAUUUUAGUUCAUUGAUAAAAUAUAUUUUUUUCUGCAAGUUUUUGUAGUAGAUGUGUUGGUUUCUGCAAAUUUUUGAUCUUUUUAUUUUUUUUAAAAUUUUUUGUCCAUAGUUUUGUGAAUCGGUUUCUGGGUUAGUUCCUUUAUGUUCUUGGUUUCUUGCUCAUAUAUUUGGUGGUUGGGAAUAGUAACUGAAAGAUUUUGGCCCCUGGUUAUGCUGAAUGUCACCUCUGUCGCGGUAAUAGUAACUUGCUCUCACUGAUCUAUGCCGACAGUCUUCUCUGGUUACCACUUACUAUGUCGUUGGUCGCAGCUUAGAUUUUAAUCCAUGCUUUUGAUAUUCUAACAACAUCAAAUGUAGUCAAAAUAGAAAGAAUUUUUAGACCCUAUGUUUAUUACUUAUCUAGUUAGAAGUUAAAUUUGUUAGUAUUUGAUGCUAGAGAAAAGGGGUGAUGAAUGUUCAUUUGAUAUCUAGCAUGUUUGAUUACAAAGGAAGGUCCUUAAGUAACAUUGAUGCCUCUGUUUCAUCAGAAUGGGCUCUUUGGCUUGUGUUUGAAGGGUGAAAAUAUUUAUGAUUUAACUAUCUUAAUUUCUCGGUUUGCAGCUUCCUUUAAUACUGGUAGGUUAUGUUUCAAUCCCUUCUUGUUUAGUUCAACAUAUAUUGAAUUUCUAGAUUUAGCUUAAUGGAUACCUAGAGCUCUGUGCGAAGAAUUAAUGGCUAAAGGGCUAUUGUUUCAAUUGGUUAUUUCUGGCUUUCAUUGAAUAUUUUUGUCGAGUAAAAAUGAUAUGGCAAAUUGAUUCCUAUAGGAAUUAAAGUCCUCUAGUUUACUUAAUUUGGCUGUUGAAUGCUUGUUAAUGAAAAGACAAUUGAAUUGUAGUUGCUUCCUAUGUUUCAAUUUUUGCAUUUUCCUUACUAUGCUCAGCUUGUAUAUGAUUUAUUUGCUGAAGAUGUGUUUCUAAGAAGCUGAGGCCUAGAAAUGGUUUCAAAAGUUGCUUUUAUGCUUUGCUUUUAUUAUAAUAAAACACUUGACUUUCUUUAGAAGAGUGACCUUCUGAAAUUUGUAUAUGCUUAAUUUUUAAUAUAGGAUUUUACUUGCUAAAGGUUCCCAUGGAAUUAUUAGACUUUGAAUUUUUAAUAAGGAUUUUACUGUGUCAUUUGAAAAUAUAUAAAACCAUUAUUUUGUUUAUAUUUGAAAAUCCGUUAUUUUGUUUUUUCGAUAACUAUGUUUGUAACACCUCUUACACGUGUUCAUCGCCGAAACAGGGUAAAAAGUAUUAUCAAACAUAAAAUACAUAUUUUCAUACAAUCGGAGUUUUUUUUAUAAAAUUUUUGACAUAAUCCCUUUUACAAAUGUCUAAUCCCUCAUGCAAAUUUUCAAAACGCAAUCUCAAACCAAUUCAAUAUUUCAACUAAUACAGCUAUAUACUUAAACAUAAUUAAAUCAUUCACGACAUUCAAAGUAUAUAUAUACAUCACAUUAACAUUAAGUCUUCUAUACAUGCCAUAAUUCAAAAAUAUUGGUUUCAAAAUACCAAAAGAUGUUAAUAGUGUGGAUGAUCCCUGACUCUGUCCGAAUUCCGAGAUGAUUUUAACACUAUAAAACAAGAAAAAAGAAAGAGAAGUAAGCAUAUAGCUUAGUAAGUACGUAUGAAAUUGAUAAACAAAUUUAAAACAUGUUUCCAUAGAUAACAUAAUUUUAAUCAACCAUAAAUUUGAUAUUUAUUCAAAUUCCAGGAAACUGUUUUUCUGCGUUACAGUCACUAAAUUAUUUUUAUCUGGAGAUACAGAACUCCAAAUUAAGUUCCGUAAAUUUUUCCUGAAACUAGACUCAUAUAACAUCUUAUCAUAAAAUUUUCAGAAUUUUUUACUUGUCCAAUUAGUACAGUUUAUUCUUUAAAGUCACCCCUUUUUCACUGCUCAACAUCUUUGACCUCUCUUCACUAAAAAUGAAUUAUCUCACUAUACAGAAUUUGGACGAUAUUUUUGUUUGUUUCUUUUGAAAAUAGACUCAUUAAGGAUUCUAAUCAUAUAAAUUAUAUCUCAUAAUUAUUUUUUUAAAAUUUUUAAUGAUUUUUACAAGUCAUAACAGGGGAUUCCGAAAUCAAUCCGGCCCUGCCUCACUAAAAUUCAAAUAUCUCAAAAUAUACAACUCUUUUGCUUGAUCUGCUUCUUUUAGAAGAAAGUAAACUCAUUAAGAUUUAAUUCCAUAUCUCAUUCAACCAAUAACUCAAUUUAUACAAUUUUUUGUGAUUUUUCAAACUAACAUCACUUCCACUGUUUGAAUCUGUUCUGUUUCAAUUUCAUUCAUUUACAUAACAUUACAACAAUUUAUUUUGUAAGCACUGUACGAAACUUCAUCACUCCAGUUACUCUUUAGCAAAUUUUCACACUUCAAUCACAUACUCAUAUUUGUUUAUCAAUACUCAUAUCAACACGUCGGUAUAAUAGCGAAUAUUCGGUGGUUUGCACAUAGUACCACCCGUGUAAUUAUUAUCAUUCGAUACACGUAGUAGCCUUUACAUAGUACUACACACGUGAUCAAAUUUUUCGGUUCACGUAGUAGCCUGCACAUAGUACUACACACGUGACCAAAGCCUUCCGGUACACAUAGUAGCGUGCACAUGGUAUUACACAUGUGACCAUUAUCUAUCGAUACACGUAGUAGCCUGCACUUAGUACUACACACGUGUUUAUAGGCACUUUAUUCAAGCCUUUCUUAUUCCGACAGUCCCACGGAGAUUCUUACUUUUCAGGGAUUUACAAUUUAUCUGUACACAAAUUACAAUUUCAAUAUUUCAGUCCAAUCCCAUAACAAAUUUAAUAAUUCAAUUCAACUACUUCACUUAUUACUUGUCAAUGAUAUAUCCACAAUUCAAGCAAAUUUUAAUCGAUUCAACUAUAAAUUCUAAAUUUCUAAUUGUUAUAUAACUAUUUCAUAUUCAACAAUUUCUCAUAUAUUAUAACAAAAUAUCAAAAAUAGUUAUAAACAAUGUAUUAAUUACAUAUUACUUACCUCGGUGCAAAAUAUAGGAAUUUUGCAAUUCAGUCCACAAUAUUUUCCUUUCCCUUAUCGAGGUUGAUUCCACGUCUUUCUUGACCUAUAAUAGCAAAUUUAGCUUGUUUAAUAUUCACAUUUAUUAAAAUAAUCCUUGACUCAACUUUUGACAAAAUUACAAUUUUGUCCCUAAAUUUUUGCAUAUUUACAUUUUUAACCCAAAGUUUGAAAAUUAAAUUUUAUUCCUUAUUCUUAUGUUUUAUAACAUGCUGAACACUUUUCCCUUCUAUGGCAACGUCAAAUUCUCACUCUAACUCUUAUGAACAUUAAAUAUUUUUACCGAUUAUGUUAUUUUGCUCGGUUUCACUUAAAAUCGACUAGCAAAAGUUGUUUAACAUAAAUUCUAGCUUCAUAUUCUUCCAUAAAAAAUAAAAAUACAUACAUUUCACACAUGGGUAAUUUUUCAAAUUUCAACCCUAGCUCAAAAUAAUAGUAGAAAUAGGUAAAUCGAGCUACGGGAAUAUAAAAAAUGCAAAGAACAUUAAAAACGGGGCUAAAAUGCACUUACAAUCAAGCUUGAAAGUGGCCAAAACCCUAGCUAUGGAGUCCUUAAAGUUUCAGCAGCAAGCAAAUAUGAUAACACCAUUUUUUACAUCUUUUUCCCAUUUUAAUUCUAUUUAUUUACUAAAUGACCAAAAUGCCCUUACUUAAAAGAAAAUCCUUUUUCACUUAUUUCUUGUCCAUUUUUGUCUAUCACUAACUAAUGGUCUAAUUACCACGUAAGGACCCAUAAUUUAUAAUUCCAUAACAAUUAAAUACCUUUAACAAAUAAAACUCAACUUUUGCACUUUUUACAAUUUAGUCCUUUUGACUAAAUUGAGUGCCCAAACGUCAAAAUUUUCAAACGAAAUUUUCACGAAAUCUUUUCAUGAAAUUGUAGACCAUAAAAAUAUAGUAAAAACAAAUUUUUCCUCUUUGAAUUUGUGGUCUCGAAACCACUGUUCCAACUAAGCCCUAAAUUAGGCUUUUACAAUGUCAGUCACUCGAUUAUUUUAUAAGCAAAUACUAAAUAGUAUUUUUUAUUUAUUCAUGGCCAAGCAUAAACAAAAUCUGAUUUUGAUAUUGAAAAUUAUAACUUAUAAUGUGAUUCCUUAAAUUUUUUUAGAACAUUAAUAUCCGAUUAUUAUUUUUUCUUCCAAUAACCUUAGAUAAUUUUUUUAUUUUUAUCUCAGAUGAUUAAAAAAUUUACUAAUAGUUUUUGCCAGUAUGUUUGCAUUCAUUAAUAAAAAAUUAUUAAUGCAAUUAUAAUUAGAUUGAUAUGUAUGUAUGCACUUUAGUCAUGGUAACUUUUAAUAUGUGAUCUUAUGAAAAUCUUGCAUUUUUUUUUGUAGUGAUCAAAUAUUUGUGUGAUAUUAUUUUGUGUAGAUGGAUCGUAAUCAACAUCAAAAUGCAAUUGUCGGAGUCGUGGCUUCAGUUUUAGCUUUUGGGGCUCUUUGGAUUAAAAAUAAAAAACUAGGAAGGAAAUUGCUUCUCACCCUCGUGUGAAUCGAGAUUAUGAAAGAGAAAAUUAUAUUAAUCUGGUACAUCCAAACGUAAAAGAAAAAAAUGUUCAAGAAAGUGUCGUUGAUGAACAAAUUAAAUUUGUGGGUGAACAACUUGGCAAAAUUGCUAAUGCUUUGGAACAAUUUAUUGCGGAUAAUACAACACAGCUUUACGAAGAAGUGAUGUCGAUGGAGGAAGAAGGAUUUGAUGAUGACUUCUUGUGUUCUGUGUUUGAUUAUCUAGUGAGUCAUGAAUUCGAGGCCAAAGCAUUUUUAGUUAAAAGUAAAAAGCAUGAAAAAAUUUGGCUUCAAAAAUUUUCCCAAGGUUGAAGAUAUUGAUACUUUUAUGUGGUGUAAUAUUAGUUAUGCACUUGGACAAUGUUGUUGUUAUUAUAUGGUGUACUACUAAUUAUGCAUUUGGAUAAUAUUUAAUUUUUAGUAUUAAUUGUGGUUUGGAAGCUAAUUUAUAAUUAUUCAAUCUUUGUUUUUUUUAACACAAUUACAAAUAAUUUAUUUGACUUUAGUUGUUUUCAAUUUAUGACGGUUAAUAUUGUAGCUUAAUAAUUGAGUAUUAUUAUAUAUUUAAUUUGAUUUAUUUAUUUAUAAAUAAAUCAUUGUAAUAUAUGUAAAAAAAAUAAAAAUAUAAAAAUUUAUUAAUAUGUAUAUAAAUUUAUUAAUAUAUGUAAUAACAACUUUUCCGGAAAAUAUUUUCAAGAAAUCUGCCAAACAACAGAAAAUAUUUUACACAGAUUCAUCCAAACACCAGAAAAUAUUUUUAGUAAAUUAUUUUCCAGAAAGUAAAUCAUUUUCCAGAAAUCAUUUUCCGGAAAACAUUUUACUGGCAAACAAAUAGACCCUUAAUGUACACCAUAAUUCUUGAACCAUGUUGAGACGCUGAAUGUUCGACACAAUUGCUAGCUCAAACUAAAUAAAGACUCUUAUCUUAACCUAAUAAGAAUGGGUUUUGAUGCCUAUUCUCUGGCCUAUAGAGUCUCUUUGGCCGUGAGAGCCUAUUUUUAGGCUCAAUGACCACUAGUUGGGUAUGGAAGUCCACUUCUUGGGCUUAAAAGCCCACCCUUAAGGAAAGGGCCUAAAAGGCCUAUUAACAGGUGUAGGUGAACAACGCCACAAUUAAAAGCAUACACCUCUCUUUUUGCCCAUUGAGAGAAAGGCAUGUGGCCAACAACUUGCACCAAUUGAAAAGUUUCUUAGCCACAAGCAACAAUAUAUAUAAGGAGGUCUCCCCUCUUUAACAUAACAACACAUCCUUCAACAACACAUUUCACUCUUAAGAGCAUAUCUCUCUAGAAAUCUCUCUCACCCUCUACGAUUCUAAGCCCUUAUCAACAAAAGCCAUUAUUUAAGGCUAAAACAUCGUUUGAAGGCAUCCUACCUCGUCACAUUUACAACAUAAGCAUAUCAUUCUCACAUACGUAGCUUAUUCAUUUGUUUUUUUAUCUUUAUCCAAUGGUUGGCAUAACUGUUGAAAUGCAUCUUGGAGGAUAACCUCAUGUGCCCUCUCAUAUUUUUCUCCUCAAUGAAGGUGCUUAAGGGACAUUUUCCACAAGACGACUAUGAAGGAAAACCAUCCCCUUCAUCCUUGAUGUUGCCACUCAUCUAGGACUUCCUUCACAAGUGUUGGUCACUCAUUCACAACAUCUUUGACAUCGUCACUCGUCCAAGGUCCUCUUCACUAAAGAUCACACUUUGACAAUGUCAAUCGUCUUAGACUUUCACCACAAGCAAAUGCGAUUAUUCAUCCAAGAUCAUCUUGCAAGGACAAAGUUAUCAUUAUAGCAGACAUGAGUCCUUCUUCACCUCUGUUGAGGGCAUUCACAUGUCUUCAUCAUCUUUUGCCUCACCACAGACUCGCACCGCUCAUGAACCCGCAUCAUUGUAUACUACAGAACUUUCUCAUCCAUAACAUUUGGUGCUCUCAUUAAAAGGAGUCAACAAGCAUGCCUCUUAAGAGCGUGAUGUGUCUCAUGUGACUAACUAAAAAUACAGCAAAUGCAAGUGCACCUAUGGAUAAAUAGUAUAGCUAUGGUGAGUAGAGAUAUCCUAUCCAUGAUGACUAAAAGUAUCAGUAAUUAUCGUUUUUGUAUUAUUUAGCCGACAAUUUAAAGUGAUAGGUUUUAAACAAAAAUUAGUAAACUAAUUUAACUACGAACUCAACAGAAAAUAAAUUAGGAAAAUAACUGAAUGAUAACCAAUGAGAGAAACAAUACCCAAGAAAGAAUCCACCUAGACUUCAUCUAUUAUUAUGAAUCUAAAUUAAACAAUUUAUUCACUUGGUAACUUGAUCCGUAAAAAUCCUUAAAUUAUGCUAACAUCUCUUUUGAGAGUAAGAGAAACUGACUCUAGGUUGAUUAGUUGAAAUAUCUUUCUAAUUAAAGCCCCUAUCGUUGCAUUAACUCGAUCUAUGGAUUCCCUUAUUAGAUUUGACUCUAAUUAGGUAGAUUUAUGUCAUUCUAUUUCUAGGAUUGCAUGCAAAUCCACUCAAUUAUGCUCGGUCUACUCUUAAAUAGGGACUUUUCCUCCACUAAAUUAAGCACAUUAAACAUGAAUUAAUAUCCCAGAAAAAUUAAAAUAAAAAUAAGCACACAUAAUUGAGAACAAGAAUCAAGUAUUUAUCGCGUAAAACAGAAAUCAAAUAAUAAAAUUCAUCUUAGGUUUCAUCUUCCUUAGGUAUCUAGGGAAUUAGUUCAUAGUUCUGAAUAAAAACAUCUCAAAGUCAGAAAAACCACAAGAAACAAAGAAACUCAUAAAAGCUUCAGAAGAAAUUAAAAGGAGGUCUUCGAUCUUGAUAGAAAUCUACUUUAGAUUUGACUCUAAUGGUGUUCUUCGAGUUAUUUUGUUCAAUACUCUAUGAUGCCCCUCAUAUCUCUUCUUCUAUUUGGUAUUUAUAGACUUUAGAAUGCUCAAAAAGCCUAAAAAUUGUGUUUUCUCGCGUGUUUGGGAAGCAAGUUGCGAAAUCGACACGGUCUGGCACAUGGUCAUGUGUCUUGCCCUUGUAUCUCACAUAACCGUGUGUCUAGCCCAUGUGGGAAGGCCCAACCCGUGUGGCUCCUGAAAUCUUCUAUUUUUGUUCGAUUUUCACUCAUUUUUCACUUUUUUAGCUCCCAAAUGCUCACCUAAGUAUAGGAACAUGAAUUCAAAGGAUUAGAAGCGUCAAAUUCACCAAAUUGCAUAAAUAAUCAUCCAAAAAUACAUUAAGAACGAGAUUAAAAUAUGUUAGUUUUAUCAUUUAUCAAAUAUCCCUACACUUAAGCGUUUGCUUGUCCUCAAGCAAAAUCCUCAACUCAAAUUAAAGUUAAUCUUUCUCAACUUGUAAUUCUCAUCAAUAAUGUUUCGAAAUAAUUCGCAAAUAAUCAUGCAUUGACAAUUCAACUAAAAGGGAACUAAAGAUUUAAACAAUCCAUGUCAAAAAUUUUAAAGCAUGAAAACAUAUGUAUCUCCCCUUAUCUAAGUAAUUAACUUAAAUUCAAAGUCUACAAGAAUUGACAUCCUCACUAAAGAUUCACUCAAAGCACUCAAAGUGUUUAAGGUUCAAGAAAUAAGCACUCAACAGUCGAACAAGAAAUGUCAUUACCAUAGGCUUGCUUGAAAAUCAAAUCUCUACCACUAUAAAAGGAUAUGACACACCAAUCAAAAGGUCUUUAAGAGGUUGUAAUGAGGCUUAGGUUUAGGGUAUGGAGAAAGGCUAGAAAAGUUGGUUAUAAUUGAGAUCGAGUUGAUAAAUUACCAAACUAGAAAAAAUAAACAAAUGCUGAAUUAGAAACAAGUGCAUCAAUCAAGAAUAAACAUGAAUAAAAAACGAGCUUCUUUUUAAAAUAUUAAUUUAACUAUUCAAGCUGAAUUAAAAAAUAACUAAUUAAUAAUCAAUAUUUUUUAUUUCUUCUUUUAACAAUAAAAAUCAAGAAAGAAAAUUCAACAAUUCAAACAAAGGAACAUAGUUAGGCAACUACCCAAAUCAAAUCACGACAAAAAAGGAGUCAAUAAAACGGGAAAAAGUCAUAAUGAAAAAAAUGAGUCAUGAGUUAACAUUAACGGGUUAAUCAAGAAACGGUGUGUUAGGCUCAACGGGGUUCACUAAGGGUUAAUUAAAAAGGUAGGCUUUUUAUGGGAUAAGUCGGUUAAAACCUAAGUGCCUUUAUCAUCUCAGUAUAUCAAAUCAAAGGUGUGGUCGCGACAUGCAUAAUUGAAGCAAGUUCUAGAAUAACAAAUCAAGUUGGCACACUCAUAAACAUAAUAGGAUGAGUAUGAAAAAUGUAUGCUUUAUAGGCUCAAAAUCUCACAAAAAAUCAUGGUUUUGAUGUUAAACUUGCAAAUUUAAAACUUCAAGAUAAUACCUCAAUUCAGGGAAAUAAUCUAAUUUUUUUAUUUCUGAAAAAUAACUUCUCAUGCUCGAUUCUCUCAUAUCUUAAAGUUUAAAUCAACCAAUGAAAGAAUAUCUACAAAUUAAUCCAAUACACAUCAACAAAAACCCCAAACCAAAAAAUGUUCAUUCUAAUGGAAGUAUGAGAAAAUUACUUAAAUACAAGAAAUAAUUCAAGGAUUUUCUAAUAAUUAUAUAAAUAACCUCCCCACACUUAAGGUGUACGUUAUCCUCAACGUACAAACAAAUAUAAGUACAGUAUAAGCAGAAUAUCAUAAGAAAGGGAGAAAACUAAAACUGCCUUGAAUAUUGGAUGAAAUCGCCAUAAUAGUAAAAACCGGAAUUGUAGGAAAAUCUAAAUGUAGUGCAUGAUUCCGAAUAAACUAAUAAAAAAAUAAACACAAAUAAUGAAGAAGAUUAAGAGGUUACAAACUCGAUUAGAAAUAACCAUAAAGAUAACAACAUAGUUCAAAAGAUAAUAAACAAAAGAAGUUUAAGAAAUAAAAAUAAAAAAUAAAAAAUAAAAAUAAAAGAAAAAAUAAAAAUAAAAAUAAAAAUAAAAAUAAAAAUAAAAAUAAAAAUAAAAGAAAUAAAAUCAAUGAUCAUCAUCGUCGGAGGCAUCGGGGUCGUGAGGCGCCAGCGUUGAAGAAGAUAUGUGGAGGUGUUGAUAGAUCUACUGUAAAGUCGCAUCAAUACUAUCGAACUGCUCAAAACAGUGCCACUUGAAAUGAGUGAACCGUUCCGAACGGUUUGCUAAGGUGGCAGCAAAAGUAGUAGGAUGGUGACUCUGAGAUGGAUGAUGAGUUGAAUCCUCGUGGUGGAAGGGGACAUCAUCAAUGAAGUCCUCAUGUUCACCCUAAGGGUCAGAAUGAGAUAAUCAGUAUUGAGAAGGAUCUACUCCACGUAGUCACUUGAUCAUCCUCAUGUGAUUCAUGCCCAAUAACCCUGCGGGGUCAUCUGUCAAACUAAUAUAAAGGAGGAGGACUGUUCUAGAGUGUCGAGGAGGCCAAAGUAUCGUGCGAGGUGAGUCACGUAAGGUCCUAAGCAGAUAGGAUCCUUCUUACUAUGCUCUGUCUGAUGGCGGCAAGCUAGGGUGAAGAAUUAGGCAAGAUAAAAAAUGUACCCUGUGGCCAUGCUCCAUAAAAAAUAGGCAUCAGUUGUACUGACAACGCUGGUGCUCUCUCUCUGACCGGUCAAAUUGUGAGCCAAGAUGGCAUGAAUAUAGUGCAAGGUCGAAGGUAGGGAAGUCACCUUCGAUCGACUCGCGUCAUAGGGCAUCGUGCUCAUAGUAAGGUUUGCCCAGCAUAAAGAAGGUGAAUAGUAGAUGUGCUGGUAUAAAGUGAGGAAGCCCUUGACAUCAUGAACUCAUCAUUUUAGAGUUCUAAUGCAGCUCUGAACUCUGGGACACUCAUAUGACGUGUUGUGCUACUGAGUUUAAAAGUAAUAGUGCUCGAUUCAUCAUGUUUCAGCAUUAUAUGCUGAAAGAUAAAUGUCAAACAAAAAUCGAGAGUAAGCUUAGAGUAGGUGGUCUCGACGAUGGAGAAAAGUUAGUCCCAAGGAGCUGUGGCAAUCAGUGCGAUGGUCAUGGGGGUGGUAGUGGUGGAUGGUGGUGGGUUGAAGAAGGGAGGAAGGGAAAAAGGGGAAAAGAGAAAGAAGGAGGAAGAAAAGAAAAGAGGAUGAGGCGUGGGGGUUCGGAGGGGUUUGUACGGUUGGGGUGUAGUAAGGUGGCUGGUUUGGUGAGGGAGAGGCUUGACAGUGACGUUGGGGGCUGUGGUGGGAAGCUUGGAUGAGUGACGGCUAGAUGGAGGAGGUGAGGAAGAAGACAAAGUGAAAGAAAAAAUUUAGGGUUUUGGUUAAAAAGGGUGACACAGUUGUGUAUAGGCCCGUGUUGGGCUACACGACCGUGUCACACGCCUGUAUGACACUCCCUCAGGCCGUGUGUCAUCCAAAAAAUGAAGCCCAACCUUUACACGACUGUGUGUGAUCUCUCUUCGUUUCUCCCAUGUCUGUAUGCUAGGCCGUGUCUUGCACACGGUCGUGUCUUUUGCUCGUGUAAAUGUUUGGCUUUAAAUUAAAGUUGAAAAAUUAGCUCUAGUACUCACACAGCCUAGGACACGCCCGUGUGUCCAGGUCGUGUGACCUACACAACCAUGUCUUCACAACGUGUGACUCACUGUCGAUUACCCGAUUGUGCGCAUAGCUUGGGACACAUCUGUGUGGGUCAAAAACAUGAUUACUAUUUUUAAUUGAUUUAAUUUUAAAUUAGCGUGCAAUAAAAUUAAAAGAAUUAGUAGAAGUUAAACGCUUGGGUUGCCUCCUGAGAAGCGCUUAUUUAGAGUUUAAGCUCAACUUACCUUGUAUACGCAUGAUCACGGUGGUUCGUGGAGCUGAAGCUCCUUUUUCUCGUUAUCAAAGGGUUACUGUUUAGGUAGGAUAGAUGGAUGUAGUCCAAUGGUUAAAGCAUAAAGAGCUAUAAGGUACGAGCUUAGAGCCUUGCGUCACUCUGGUAUGCUUGUUUCAACUUUAGGUUCUGGAAUAAAUAGCCCAACCCAUAGACCAGCACAGAUGGAAUAACCUUUAGUUUGUUGAGUCCACUAAAUGGCCAAAAUAUGGCCAUUUAGUAGGUUUCAGGACCCACAAGCGCUAGAGGACGAGAAUCUUUUACCAAGAUAAGGUUUGAGUGGAGUACUGUUUACCUUAAAAUUGCCGAACUCAGAAUGAGUUACCUCGAUUGUACCGUAUGGGAAGACAUUCAGUACUGUAAAUGGGUUCAAUCCGUUUGAUUUAAGCUAUGAAAGGGAGAUUCGUGGAUCCAAUUUGUCUAGUAGUACUUUGUCCUCAACCUUAAAUUGGUUUGUUCCGUUCACUUGCUCAUCAUGGCGUCACUUUGGCUCUUCAUCAUGUUUUUUCAGUUUCUCCUUGACAUGCGUUCGCCAUUCAUCUAGUUUAUCGAGUUGCACCAUUCACUCUUCAUAAGUUGUUCUGUUUUUGUCUCUUUGAAUGAAACAUGGCUCCAUUAUGUUUUCACGAGGGAUUUCCUACAAAGAAGGUUGAGACACAUAGUUACUAACAUUUACAGAACAUUUAAAAUCAUCUCAAUCACUAAAGACUCUCACAGAAUCAUGUGUUAGGAGAUUAAUCAUUUUAAUCACCUAUAUGAAGCACAAGUUCACGUACUAACAUCAAUAAUAGUCCUAGCAGUGGCUAAAAAUGGUCGACCUAAGGUCAAAGGUACCUCACUAUCCUCAUCUAUGCCUAAAAUAACAAAAUCAACAGGGAAUAUGAAUUUAUCAAUUUUAACAAGUACGUCCUCAAUAAUACCCUAGGAUAUCUAAUGGUUUUAUCCACUAAUUGAUUACUCAUCCAAGUGUAUUUGGGUUUCCCAAGACCAAGUUUUUUAACAUUUCAUAGGGCAUGACAUUAAUACUAGCCCUUAAAUCAGCCAAAUCAUUAUCAAUAUUUAAACUACCAAUUAGGUAAGGAAUAAUAAAACUCCCUAAAUCUUUUAGUUUGUUGGGCAGUUUAUUUUAAAGAAUGGCCGAGCCAACUGCACUGAGUUCCAUAGUUGACAAGUCAUCUAUCUUCCUCUUGUUUGUCAAUAGCUCUUUUAAAAAUUUGACAUAAUUUGACAUCUACGAAAGAGCUUCAACAAACGAUAAGUUAAUGUGUAAAUUUUUAAGAAGUUUAAGGAAUUUACCAUAUUUUUCAUUUGUGUGGUCUCUCUUUGACGCGUUAGGAUAGUUUGUACUCUUUGAUAAUCGACUUUUGUUCUUUCUUGUCUUCCUUAACAUUACCUUUGUUUGUCACAUCUUCUUGCCUCGGUUCUUGUUCAGGUUCAACUAACCCUUCCACGUCUCGAAUAGUAAUUGCGUGGAGUUGCUCGCUUGGGUUAGUUUCAGUAUUGCUAGGCAAGCUACCUUGUGGUCUUUCCGAAAUUAAUUUAGCAAGUUGACCUAUUUGAUUCUCGAGUCCUUGAAUUAAUGCUUACUGAUUUUUUAGUGCUGCCUCAGUGUUUUAAAAAUGCGUUUCGGACACUCAGAUAUACUUUGUCAACAUCUCCUUAAGGUUUGGCUUUUUCUCUUGCUGAUAAGGUUGCUGGAAGCCUAGAGGUGGUUGUACUAUUUGAUUUCCUUGACCACUCCAAGAGAAAUUGGUAUGGUUCCUCCAACCUGCAUUAUAGUUAUUACUAUAAGGGUUAUUUUGUGGUCUAGAAUUGUUACCCAUAUAAUUGACUUGCUUAUUCUCUAUGCUAGGACCGAAGGGUAAACAUUCUAGAUUAUUCAUUCCACCUCCAUUUACAUCGCAUUUCAUCACUGGAUGUACCUGCGUAGAAAGAAAUAAACCAUCAAUUUUCUUAUUUAAUAAUUCUAAUUAGUUUGAUAACAUGAAGACUGCAUCUAAAUUAAAAACACUAGCUACUUUCAUCGACUUUGUCCUUAUGACUUGCCACUAAUAAUUAUUCAGUGCCAUCUCCUCUAUAAACACAUAAGCUGCUUCGGAUGUUUUAUUGUUAAGUGUUUCACCAGUUGCUGCGUCGAUUAACUACCUAGUUGAGGGAUUCAAAUCGUUGUAGAAGGUUUGAACUUGCAACCAUAAGGGUAAACCAUGAUGGUGGCACCUUCUCAAAAAGUCCUUGUAUCUCUCUCAUGCAUCAUAUAAAGUCUCUAAAUCGGUCUGAACAAAGGAAGAGAUAUCAUUCCUCAACUUAGCUGUCUUAGCCGGUGGGAAAUUUUUCAACAGAAAUUUCUCGGUCAUUUGAGCUCAUGUAAUGGUCAAACCACUAUUUUGCUUUGUUCCUCAACAAGAAUGGAAACAACCGUAAUCGAAUGACGUCAACAGUGGCACCAAUAAUAUUGAAAGUAUCAAAAGUUUCAAGAAAAUUAGCCAAAUGAGUAUUUGGGUCUUCAUCUUGCAAACCGUCGAACAGGACAUACUGUUGUACCAUUUGAAUUGUGUUCGACUUCAGUUCGAAAUUAUUGGCAGUAAUGGUGGGUCGGAAAAUACUCAAUUCAUCCCCAGUCAGAGUGGGCUUGGCAUAAUCGUAUAUAGUACGAGGAACAGGAGCUGCUGCAACUGUAGGAGGUAGCUGAAUAUUCUGAUUAUCACCCAUCUCCUUAGUAAUAAUGUUGUCAUCUUGUUCGCCUACUAUAAUUUGUCAACUUUGCCUUGCUUCUCUGCGAUUUUUGCGAGUAGUACUUUUAAUCUCGCUGUAAAAAAGCAAUGGUCUCGACGGGUUUCUUUUAGUCAUAAACCAAAAGAACCUGCCAGAAGCAAAUAAAGAAAAAUUAGAGUGUAAAAUUUAAACUAAAAACAAAAACAAAAUAAAAUAAAAAUGGCUAAAUUAAUAAAAAUAAAGUGUUUAUAAUAUUUUAGUCCCCAGCAACGGUGCCAAAAAAUUGAUGUGUCUCAUGUGAAUAACUAAAAAUAUGACAAAGACAAGUGCACCUAUCGAUAAAUAGUAUAGCUAUGGUGAGUAGGAUAUCAUAUCCAUGAGGACUAAAAUUAUUAGAAAUUACCAUUUUUCUAUUAUUUAGCCGACAAUUUAGAGUGAUAGAUUUUAAACUAAAAUUACUAAACUAAUUUAACUAAGAACUCAACAGAAAAUAAAUCAGGAAAAUAACCAAAUGAUAACCAAUGAGAGAAACAAUACCCAGGAAAGAAUCCACCUAAACUUCAUCUAUUAUUAUGAAUCUAAAUUAAACGAUUUAUUCACUUGGUAACUUGAUCCGUAAAAAUCCCUAAAUUAUGCUAACAUCUCUUUCGAGAGUAAGAGCAACUGACUCUAGGUUGAUAAAUUGAAAUCUCUUUCUAAUUAAAACCUCUAUUGUCGUAUUAACUCGAUCUAUGGAUUCCCUUAUUAGAUUUGACUCUAAUCCGAUAGAUUUAUGUCAUUCUAUUUCUAGGAUUACAUGUAACUCCCCUCAAUUAUGCUAGAUCUACUAUUAAACAAAGACUUUUCCUCCACUAAAUUAAGCACAUUAAACAUGAAUUAAUAUCCUGAAAAUAUUAAAACAAGAAAUAAGCACACAUAAUUGAGAACAAGAGUCAAGUAUUUAUCGCGUAAAACAUAAAUUAAAUAAUAAAAUUCAUCUUGGGUUUCAUCUUCCCUAGGUAUCUAGGGAAUUAGUUCAUAAUUCCGAAUAAAAACAUCUCAAAGUUAGAAAAACCACAAGAAACAAAGAAAAUCAUAAAAAUUUUAGAAGAAAUUAAAAGGAGGUUUUCGAUCUUGAUGGAAAUCUGCUUCAGGGUUGACUCUAAUGGUGUUCUUUGAUUUGUUUUGUUCAAUACUUUAUGAUACCCCUCAUAGCUCUUCUUCUAUUUGGUAUUUAUAGACUUUAGAAUGCUCAGAAAGCCUAAAGAUUGCGUUUUCUCGCGUGUGUGGAAAGCAAGUUGCGAAAUCGACACGGUUUGGCAUAUAGCCGUGUGUCCAGCCCGUGUGUCUCACAUGGUCGUGUGUCUAGCCUGUGUGGGAAGGCCCAACCCGUGUGGCUCCUAAAAUUUUCUAUUUUCACUUGUUUUUUUGCUCUUUUAGCUCCCAAAUGCUUGCCUAAGUAUAGGAACAUGAAUUCAAAGGAUUAGGAGCAUCAAAUUUAUCAAUUUGUAUAAAUAAUCAUCAAAAAGCACAUUAAGAACGAGAUUAAAAUAUGUUUGUUUUAUCAUUUAUCAGAGUGUGAUAGAUAAAUCACUUUAUGGUAACUUUUCUUCAAAACAUGGGAGAAUUAUGAUGAUGAAAACUCCUGGACAUGAGUACACAAAAAGACCAACCUAAGUAACAAGAGAAUGUGAGUCUUACUACCUCAAGAGACUAAGGACAUAACAACCUGGAUCUUGAGAAACUUAGGGAUGAUGUGUAGAAUCUCACAGACAUGGUAAAAGAGUUGGCUUCAAAAAGUCAACAACAAAUGAACAACACACCCAAAGGAGAACAUCCACUUAGUGAAGCAUGGGAGGAGGCUAGCAAUACCUCCUUCAACAUAACCUUGCUCCAAUCCAAAUGGCUAAUGUCUUACUCCAUAGCACCCAAGGAACAAGGAAAAGGUACUUGGAAGGUUGAUAAGGGGAUGAAGCCACACCAUAAAGGGAAGGGUAUGGAUAAAAAUGGGAAGCUAUAAUAGUUAAAAUGGAGGCUAUGGAACAAAGGUUGAUCACUCUUUCACCACUUUUAAACUUUGAGAGCGUUAGAAACUUGCCUUUCACUAUGAACAUCAAGUGGAUUGUGCCUUAUAGAAAGUUUAAAAUGGCUACUAUGGAUAUGUAUGAUGGUACGAUUCAUCUGGUGAACCAAAUGGAAAUGUUUCGAAGGAAUAUGUCAUUAUAAUAAGUAAGUAACGCCUUCAUGUACAAAGGAUUUCCUUCCACCUUGAAAAAGAAAGCACAGUCUUGGUAUUUUUCCUUAAAACCAAGGUCUAUGUUGAGUUUCAAAGAGCUCGAAAGAAAUUUUGUAAGCCACUUCAUCAACAACAUCGUCCACAAGAAAGCAUCCAUCACUUUGAUAAUAGUGAAACAAAGUAUGAACAAAACCUUGAGGGAGUAUGUCACUCGACUUAACACACAUACACACAAAGAAAAACUUUCCAAGUCAAACUAAAGGAUAAGGCUUCAUUAAUUAUUUUUCAAAGAAGUCACUGAAGGUUUUCUCAAAUUUUCUUGUAAGGGUAAAAAAGUAUACCAACAUUGAAGAAAUUAUGGCGACUAAGCUAUAAAGAAAUGAAGGAAAAAAAGAAAGGACACGAGAGAGUCCUUAGGAUAAUGAUCCCUUUAGUGCUUCCAAGAUAAAAAGAUGAGCUGGUCACACUUGUGAAGGUACAAUAUGUACACACCUUUUAAUAGACAUUGAUGAGAAGUCCUUAAAAAGAGAAAGAAAGUGUCACUAAACAUAUAGAAAAACUAAGGAUGGGAAUUAAAAGAGACACCUCAAGGUGUUGUCUCUUCCAUAAAAAUCACGGAAAUGACAUGGAACAAAAUUGGAACAAAAUUGUUUAUGAACUAGCAUCCAAAGGACACCGACCCAUAAGAAAAUAAGAGAGGAAGGGGCCAAUAAGAGGAUAUAAAGACCUGAGUGCAACAACCCUACCUCCUAAACUAAAAUAAGUCACAAAUAAUAGACAUCCAGAGAAAGAGAGUCCCUUGGUAGGAGUUAUUCAUAUUGUAAUGAGAGGAAGCUCAUUUGGAGUGUAACUCCAUCCACUCGACCCGAUCGAUAGGAUCCGAGUAUUAGGUGUUACUUCCUAAAACAUACAUGACCUGGACUCUUCUUUUCGCCUAUGUACUAGUCAAGCAACGACUUAACAAAAUUUCUUUACUUUCGUUUACUGAAUUACCUCAUUUUAUUUGUUAUGUAAAAUUCCUAUUACAGUGGAAACUCUUGUUUUACAAUUUGAAAAAUACAACUAUUGUUUUCACAUUAAUUUUAUCACUAUACAUAGUGUUACACCUUGUGCUCAUACUUGACUUUGCCAUAUAACUUUAUGUACGUCUUGCACUUCCAUAGCCUUUUUGGCAUAAACAAUUACUUCUUAUCCCAUCCUUUGGUUAGGAUUUCCUCUCAUAAAAAAUUGUUGCUCUGCUGGCGUAGCCUUGGCACCGUCCUUCCACACGAGAUUCUUUGUAACCUUAAAUAGGAAAUAACUUAUGUAAGUUCUUAAGAACUUAGUAAAUCUCUACUACCUAUUUCAUUACGUCGUAGCCUAAUAAACACUUUUCGUAUUCUUUGGCCUAUGUCUUUCCUCGUCAGGUACUUUACUCUACCAUUUCUUAUGGUGCUGUUCGAACUUAUUUGACUAGUACUUCCUUAAAGCGUACUACAUGCAUAAUUCGUUACUUUUGCAUUUUCUUAUCCAUAUUUGGUCCUUACUCUUCUCGUGCUAGCCACAUACCUCCUUUUGGACCCUUUCAUCUUACUGACCAUUUCCUCAUUUCGUUUAUACAGAGUUUUCCUAUCUUUAACUUUCGUAGCAUUUCUAACACUUGCCAUGUUUCUUACACCAUAUCUUUACCUUUCCUUCAGAGAAUCAUUUACCCAGACUUCGCCGUGUUGGUGCUUCAUUAAUAGAGUUCGUCGCAAUGAUUUACUUUACCAGAUGACCAUGAAAGUCCUUUGACAUGGAUAACCAUAGAAGUCCUCCUUAACAAUGGUUAGAUAGCCACAAAGGCAUCCAAACACAUACAUAAGAUAGCAAUAGAGGCGUCCAUAUAGAUAGAUAGCCACAAAGGCAUCCACUUAAUAGAUAUAACCACAAAGGCUCUUAUAUAACAUUAGAUAGCCAUAAAGGCAUCCACAUAUAACAGACUUUGCCACGAAGGCACAUUUAACAAAUAUAGCCACAAAGCCUCACAUAUAUCAAAUUUCUCCACUAGAGCUCACAUAUAACAAAUUCUGCCACUGGGGCUCACAUAUAAUAGAAAAGAGCCACAGAGGCUUUUACUUACCAGAUAACAGUCAUAAAGGCUUCCAUAUUUCAAUAAAUGAUGUUUUCGAAGAAUUUGCCUAAACUCAACGUCUUGAGGUUUGCCCCUCAUCACCUGGCACUCACUUAAUCGUAUUUUAUCUUUUCUCCAUAUGAUGCAAUAGUCCUAGACUAUGUCUUACACUAUGUGGUCCACAUUUCCCCAUAUGAUGCCAUAGUCCUAAACUAGGUAUUUCACUAUAAGGUCUUCUUGCCAUGGCCAUAAUUCAUGUAUAUAAGGAAGUAAGUAAAUAGUGCCCGUCAUGAACCCGAUCAGCUAGAUAUUUUCUUUUGUCCCAUUAGAUGUUCGAUACGUGUAUUAAUCGUUGUGAUUUACCAUACAGAUGCACGAAAACAGUAAAAGUAACACUUAUGGGAACACUUACUUUGACGUAACAUACUUUUGAGUCUUAGCCCAUCCUUUGUUAAGGGGUAGUUGAUAGCUUAAUUGGUCAUGCUUUGGCACAUCACGCCUCCUUGGUGGUAUCCUCAUUCACUUGAGUCCCCUUAAUACUUUUCUGGGUGUCCUUUCCCAACGGUACUUUAUAAUGUAUUUAUAUAUAUAUUGGUUACAUACCCACUUGUACGCCAAGAACAUUAGUGGGGCGAACAAUGCUUUAUUUACUCACGGACUUCAUCUUUCGCCAUUCAGGAGUCACCUUACCUUGACCUUACCUAAUUCUCGGCCCUUUUACUUAGCCCUGAGGUGUUUUCUUAUCUUCCUUCAUAAGCCCUUUGACCUAUCCCUAAACUAUAUUGGGAUUAAACAAACGUCACAUCAGUCAUUUGGUAGUCUUAUCCAAAUCUUACGAAUUCUAAGAACUAAUCAAGUGCUUUCCUUUGGUUAUUAACUAUCUUAGUUCUCAUUUGGUUACCUCCAAACUAUCUUUUCAUUAUAUCUUAACCAACUUAAGGCUAUUUUUACCAAUUGCCCUUAUUGCUGACAAACUUCUCCACACAAAAUUUAUUUAUUCAUUACCUAUAACAGAUUUCGCCCAUUCCAUUCAUGCCAGUCAAGGGCUUUUGGGGCGAAUCUUUCCUCAUCAGACAUAAUCUCAUAAAUUGUUAUGCACUUCUCUAGUGUCUGCCAACACUAGUACGUCAUAGGCACACUAGAAAUAAUUUUUAGCUUAAACACCGUUCACCUCUAACUUAUCUUAUACGAUUGAUUCUUAGAACAUUACAUGGAUUCUAAGAUUUCACCGGGCGAGAUGUUACAUGGAGGGCAAACCAUGACAAGAAGAAUGUGCUAUACUAAAGUAGACAUGGUCAUAAGUACUCAGAAGAAUAAAGAGACUUUGGGGGAUGAACCGAUAUCAUUCAGACUAGAAGGUUUUGAAGGGACCCAACUACUACAUGAAGACAUGCUCAUCAUCUCUACAACCAUCUACAAUCACAUGAUAUAAUGGACUUUUUUCAAAAAUGAGAGCUCCAAUGACAUCCUGUAUUGUGAGGUGAUGAAGAAGCUAGGAAUCUUAAACGAUUAAUUGCAACCAUUUAGCGUGUCUUUUGUUAGAUUCAACAAUGAUGAGGUCAAAAUUGAGGAAUACUGAUAAUGAACAAUGUGUGGAAUAGGAUCGUAAGUUUGUCUAAGUCGCAGAUUUGACUUAGGGCUCUAGAUGAUCAUAAAGAAACUUGGAUUUUAACAUAAUCUAAAACGUAAACAAAUCCAAGCCAGAUCUAUGAAUUAAAAAAAUAAUUAAAAUAAAUAGUUAAGAUGAAGAGAAAGAAUAGCUAAAUAAAUCAAAGAUUUGAACAAUUAAAUAAGAAUAAGAUAGAAUAAAGACGAAAAUAAAGAAAACAAAUGGAAAAGAUGAAAAGUGGCAUGUAGAAGUCCUAAGGAGCCUUGGAAACUAGAUGAAUCCACAACCCCUUUCAAAUGACUCUAGUUUUCCUUCCAAGGAAGAAAACUUGUCAAAAAGAAAAAAGCAUGAAGAUGAUCUCUACAAUUUGAAAAGAUUGUUAAAACUCAUCUAAAAUAAAACUCAAGAGAAAUUCUUAAAAAGAAAACUCAAAGGGAAUUUUAUUAACUUAAAGUGAAUAAUGAAUGAAUUGAUUUAAUUGUGUACAAUGAAGAGGCCUUUAUUUAGGUUAUCUAUGUAUAUCUAAAUAAAACUCUCAAGUAUAAUGAAACUCUAGUUAAUCUAAACAACAAGUAGUUUUAAGCUAUACUUGUUGACAUAAAACUCCUAAAACUUAAAAUACUUAAAAACUAUCCCAAAUUCGAAAUAAAUAAAUAAUAAAAUAAUAAAACUUCAUAAAUAUAAUAUUGGGCUCUUAUAUAAUAAAAAUUAAGCCUGAAACUUGAAUCCAAUUUGAUAUAAACAUGAAUAAAAAGAUCAAAAAUAAUAAUUUCCAUAAUAAUCUCGUCUAGAAAUUAUGCUCGUGCAGUCUUCACUAAAUUGGUCAUAACUUGAGCUCCUAAAAUUUAAAUCAAGUGAUUAAAAGUGCAUUACGAAGCUAAGAGAUGGAUCUUAAAACACCAUGUAGAAACUUAAGCCCAUAAAUGCCUAGAUACCAUUCAAAAAUUCGUUGUAAGUUGACUAAUCUUUCCAGCUUGAAAAUUGGUAGCUUGGUUGAAUUGACUUUAAUAAAUUCCACCCAUUGGUUUGAUUUGCUUGGCUUUUGACCUUGUUAUUGGGCCUUAAUGUAGUGUAACCCCAUCGCAUCAUAGGCCUAAAAUAAGGCCUUGAGACUUGAAUCAUUCCCCCUACCUCAAGAAGAUUCGUCAUCGAAUCUUUAGAUGUAGAAAAAAAGAGAAAUUAGAAUUAGUAACAAUAUAAGUAAGCAAAUACUUACCUAAGCUUUCAUGUGAACCAAAGUUAUCUCCAGGAUCAAAGGCGUGAUUGUGAUCCCCUAAAUCAGCAUGGAUCAAGUACUUCACCUUCAAAAACAUGCCAUCAACAUUAAACAAAGAAAUGUUAAGCACAUGAGUGCUCAAGUAAAAAAUAACCUGUAACUUUUUUUGAAUAUACGUGGUCAUCUAUAAGAAUUUUCAAUAAUGAGUAAAGAAUUUUACAUAACAAUCAAAAUGAAAAAUGUUAAGAUUGUUAUAUAAGAAUUGGUCGUUAAAGGUCAAGAUAGAAAAUUUUGUUGCAAGAGAAAAUGUAUAAAAUGCUUUAAUAACCUAUCUAAUGCAAUAUAAUUGCUAUUUUUAACCUUUACGUAUCUAGAUAAACCCAUAAAUUAAUUGAAACGGACAAAGGUUUAAUAAGCUUUGAUACAUGAUAAAACAAAUCAUAAGGAAAUAUAGUUGGACGCAUAAAAUUAGGGCAAUACUUUUUAAAAACUUCAACGUAUACCUACUUAAUUCAAUAUCCAAAGUAUCCUUACCUUGCUUACCCUUUAUCACCUGUUGAGAAUUGUCAAUGUGUAACUUACCUUGCCCCCGCAAGUAAAAUCUUCUAUCAAUAGUCGAGUAAUGUAAUUGAAAGUCCAUCAAUGGAUUCUUUAAAUCCUGUAACAAAGAAACACCAUCGAACAAAUUUGAGUUAGGAUUAGUUAAAACAUAAUCAUUCAUCCCUUUUGUAUGGGUUUUUUAUUUCUUCAUUUUCUUUUUCCACUUGAGAGCUCUUCAAAUUUACCUCAUAUGUAUUUUCACUCACCAAAAGUGGACCAUCAAGUAGACUUUUAUCAGUCAAGGUCUCUUUUCUCUUGGUCAUUGCACAUGAUUUUUCCUCACUUUCCAUAUCCGUUCACAAGUAUUAUGAAUAUUCAGUUUAAUACAAUAAAUCUCAGUAGGAGAACAUGAUGUUUCUAUCCCAUCUUAAUCUAUAGUUUCGAGGAAAAAAAUCUCACUAUCAUCUUUUUCCGGUUCACAAAGAUCGCCAUCACAAAUUUUUUUUCACUAAAGUAAGAGUCAACAAAAGAUAGAAAGUUAUACUUACUUUCUUCUCUAGUUGGAUAUUUAAUUGGACAUCGAAAAUGCUAGAAAAAAUCCUAGUUUGAAAAUGAUUUUCUUGCAUAGCUGAAAAGUGAAAAUUUGAAAAUCAACCCAGUUAGUGAUAUUUAUAGCAAUAAUCCUUAACCGGAUUUUUACUUGUGUUUUUAGCUUAACGCACGUUUAGUGUUCCCGGCUUUCAACCAAAUAAUUUUCUCUAUUAUUCUCAUAUCACGAACUGCUUCAAGUGUGGGCUCGAACCAAUUGAAUCGAAACACAGAACUAUAAAUAAGUUUUCUCUCCUUUUAGGGUGUAUACAAAAAUUCUCUCUUAUUAAUAAAAAUCGAUAGAAUUGUUAUUUUGGAAAAAAUAUUUGUAAUAGUUGAGAAUAAAUUCUCUCUAUUUUUUGGCAGAAUAACAAUCUCUCAAAAGUUGUGUUUUUGAUAGCUCUAUUGGUGCCAACUAUUUAUUGGAAGAGAAGGUAAAACCCUUAUUGAGUUGUAGUGGUUUAUUUCAAAUAGAAAAACAACAUUCUACUUAGAAUAGAAAUAGGGUGGACGACAUACCCUAGUAUUCCUACUAAGGUUGUUGCCCCCUUCAUGUCCAUGAGGGGUUUUUAGGCCUCUCUCAGAUUGGGUUUAAUUACAAGAACUUCCUAGGUCUUUUUGAUCCAGUACUUUGUAAUGUGAUCCAAUCCAAUUAAGUGUUUCUCUUUCCUAAAAUAAACUUUAAUAUUUAUAUAUAAAACAAUUUUUCAUCCCUAUUGUACCCUCAGUAAAAUUUUGACGAUUUUUCCCAUGGUAAAAUUUCAAAAAAAAAAUAUGUUCAAUAUUUCACAACUCAACAUGUUCACUAUGAUCGAAUGAUUUAUUUUCAUUUUCGGGCUUCAAAAUAGUCCAAAAACAUAAACUCAUUCUUCCGAUCAUUUUGUAAGCAAUCCAUAUAGGACUGCAAAUGGAUCAUUUCCAUUUCCAUUUAUAUUUCCGUUUUUUGGAAACCUGCAUUCAUUUACAAAUGAUUCCAUUUCUCUAUUUUGGAGAAAACCAUAAUCAUUCCUCAAUGUUUCCCAUGUAUCUUUUCAUAUUCAUUCCGCUCAUUGCUAUUUAAACACAAAAUUCAUUUCUGGUUUCAACAAACUAGCGGAGGGACCGAUUGGCGAUAUUUAGUUAAGGCUCAAAUGAUUUAUAAUUAAGUUCCAAAUUAUCACCUAUUAAUUUUAAAAUCUUUUAGUCAUGAAGUCAUUCCACUAUAGUAUCGUGAUUGAACUCUCCCUAACAACAUACCAUUAUGAAAGCAACUAUUCAGUGCUCGUAUAAUGACCUUGUCAUAAGUGUGUUACCCUCAUAGGCUAUCUUUGAUCUCUUUGGGAUAAUAUUCGUUCUCCCAGUAGGGUCUCAUUUUAUCUCAUGGUAACCAUUACAUCUUCUUUCAUGAAAAGUCAAUCACUAUCAAAUAAUGAUGAAGUCAUCCGUCACAAAGACGGACGACCCAUGACCACGUUUACUUGUCAUCAACCAUGUAAUGCCAAUGAGAGGAUAUCAUUUACCCAUGUUUUGGGCUAUGAAUUUUACUAUUUUGAAUGACGCUACAUACUACAGAAGUUGUGCACCCAACACACCAGCUUUCUGUUCAUUGUCUAUUUGAACUCGGACUUUUACUUACAUUAAAGUGUACAAGUCACGUAUACAUAGUCCGUUAUUCACUCAAGAUUUAGGUAUGCCACAAUAUGAACAUCACAAGUGAAUAAACACAUAAAUGGAUUCAGGAUCUAUUCUGCUUGGUUCUGUUUGAUGUACUGUCAGUCCAGUCAGUCACAUCUAUAUCUCUAUCUUCUGGGAGUCAUCCGCUCUGAUGCCCAAGAGAAAACAUCUCCCCAAUUGGACUUGAUAGACGACAUAUUAGUCUUUCAAUUAGUUUGUUUAUUUCUGAUUAGACUAAGGACAUGUUUAGGUUCGUCUACUAAUACAAGCUAUCUUUUCGUACUAUGAUCCAACCACAUAAUACCGCUAAGUAUCAGUUUAAAAAAUAGACAACCAAUGAGCAACAUUUGCUUCUAUUUUACUUCAUGUGAAAAAAUCAUUUGAGGAUAAUAAUUCAAAGUAUAUUAAUGUAAUUUAUGCAUAAUUUUACUAGCCAAUCUGUUUGAAAAAAUUACAAGUGUACUUAGACGAAAAUAAUACAUUUAGGGCACCAGAUGAGUCAUGUUUUUUCAUUUAUAUGCCCUUCAUAUGUUUCCCAAAGAGCUCUCUAGCUAUAAGCUUCUUGGCUAAAUAAAUCCCCAAGGUUUGUCCUAAGAUGAAAAUUUUUACUACAUCCAUUAUUCCAUCGAACACUCUCGUUUCCCUUAAUGUGUUUUGUCCUUAAGUGGUUUCUUUUAGGUGUAGCUAUAUCCGCACUGUUAUAGUGCCAUAGCUUUUCCAUUCCUUAUAUUUUGGCCUCUAUAGGAAGUUAGCAAUUGAACCUUGCUUGACACUUAUUUACACUAUGGACCUGCCAUUUAGGACAAAAGUAUGCCCGAUGUCAAUUUCCUCGAAUCCCAACACAUUUGGAAGUCAUUACUAGUAUAUCCAAUAAGAGUAAGGUCUCUUCCUGAUGCGAUCAUGGUGGCAUCAUGUUUCGAUACAGCCCGACGACAUCGAAAUUGGCCCAAGCGUGAGGGGUCCAAGUGCAAAAUGAAGUUUUAAAUCUCAGUUUGUCAAUUUGGUUGCUUGAAAUUAUUGAGCAAUCAAGGACUUCCCAUUCAAGCAUGCUAUACAAUUUACUCCGAGCUAAACUCUAGCUCAAUUCUAGCUCCAUUUAGUUUACUUUAGCUUAAAUUUCAUUUGCUGGAAUAAAAGAAUUAAUUUGGUUUAGCUAGUUAUUUAGUUAAUUAGUUAAUUAAACUAGUUAAGUUUUAUAAAUAUGUCAUGGUUUAAACAUCAAUAAUUAGAGUUUAAAUGUGUCAAAAAUCUGGACAUCUUAAAUGUGCUUUAAGCUUAUUAAUUCUGUCCAAUUUCAUAUAGCUUUAUUUCUUGUUUUAAUUGGGACAACAUUCAUACAUGUUAUUUUCAGACAGAUUUAUUACAUGUUAAAAGUCAGAUUUCUUAAAUGUGUAUUAGUUUAUUACAUAUUUAUUUAUGUGUUUAAUCAAGUGUUUAUUGUGCCUUUGCAGUUUGACUCAACAUUCGGCUGAACCUCCAGAUUCAUUGAAGUCAUUUAAUGCAAGACAAUGUACCUGAACUUGCAUGCAUUUGGAAGCUGAUCCUUGCAUUCUCCUAGGUGUCCAUUUGGCAAGGGGAUGCAUGACCAUUGAAUUCAGCCCUUUGCUGCACAGUUGAAUCUUCAAAAAUUAGUUCACACUUGAGUCCAUUCCUAUCCAAGUGUUCACACUAAUGUUUAUUCGGCUAGCCAUAAACUUCAUUCAACUACUGUACAUGCAUUCAACAUUUUCAAUGGAGGAUUAAUUCAAGCUUUACUCAUCUGGCUGAUUGAAUACAAUGCUCCCAUAGCUCAACCAUCAUGACCAUUCACUUUGGCUAUUCGGGAACACCAAAUGAAAAGGGCAUCAAGACUGUUCGGGUUUAGCAAUAGUCAGCUGAUCAUUAAGUUAAUCAUUGGAUAAUUUCAGCUAAAAUUUAAGUCAACAUUAGUGUAUAAUUAUUUGCAAUGAAUUUGAGGCUAUUCGGAUGGAGCUAUGUAAGCUUAUAAAUAGCUCAUUGUAAUCUGUUUUGAAGGUUACCUAACUUUGACAUUUUAUAAAAUUAAGCUUAGUGAGUUAUUCAACUCCUAUUGUUCGUUUGAGACUCGAUUGACUUAUCUAGCUCCGUCUAGUGGUGUCAACUCGAUUCUUGUUUGAACUUAUCACUUCCAACAAGUGUGGCAAUCACUAUAUACCGUAGGUUCCUAUCUUGUUAGAUAGAGGGUCUUAGUUUGUUAUCCUCAUCCGUUGCAUCACUAAGAGUUGACAUAAGAGCCGGGUCAAUUUUUACCUAUAAAAUUGGUCCGUCCUUCAACCUUACCUUUCAAAUCACAACUUAACCAAAUUAUCCAUCCACAUCUUCUUUGCCAACCGACCAUUUUUAACACAUUCCGAUUAAAGCCUUCAAUUAUGACACUUCUCAAUUUACGAUUGGGAACAUUCGUAACUCGUCAUCAAUUCUGAGCACGGGUUCAUAUCACUUCUAGAAUACACAAGCAUAUAAUCUCUCAUUCUCCGUAAAUACUUGGGUAUAUGUGUAACUGCUUGUAGUGCCUUGGUCCUGGAUUCGUCUGAUAUCGACUUACCAGCUCCACUAUAAAACAUAUAUAUGGGUUUGUGUACAAUGAAACAUACAUGAGAAUUCCUACUAAUGAAGCAUAAGAAACCUUUUCCAUGUUCCCUCUUUCUUUUGCUGUCUUAGGAUAGUCAUCUAAAGAGAGAUAAAAUCCUGAUACGGAGGGUUCAUUUUCCUUCUUUGAAUCGGUCAUUUCAUAAUGCUCCAUUAUCUUGUUUGUGUAUGAAGCCUGAGACAGCCUUAUCACUUUGUUCUUUCAAUCCCUCAGGAUUCGAAUACUAAGAACAAAAUUAGUUUCUCCCAAGUCCUUCAUGCUAAAAUAUUGGGUUAACCAUAGUUUAACAAAUGACAAUAUCCUUACAUCAUUCCCAAUGAGUAGAAUAUCAUCGACAGAUAGAAUGUGAAAGACCACCUUUUCAUCCUCUAAAUGUUUAUAAACACAAGGUUCAUCUACGUUUUGCUUAGAUCCAAAAGUCUUGAUCGCUUGAUCAAAUCUUUAAUUCUAUGAGUAGGACGCCUUUUUAAGUACAUAUAUGGAUCUAAGGAUUUUGUAAACCUUAUGCUCGUUUCUUUUAGCUAUAUAUUCGGUGGUUGCAUCAUGUAGAUGCUCUCUUCAAGAUAUCCAUUCAAAAACAGUCUUGACAUCCAUUUGCCAGAUCUUGUAAUAGAGGACCGCCGCAAUGGAUAGUAAUAUGUGGAUUGACUUGAGCAUGACAACUAGACAAAAUGUUUCUUCAUAAUCAAUGUCUUGUUUAUGAUUAUAACCUUUUGCUACAAGUCUAGCCUUAUAAGUUUCAACUUUUCCAUCCACAUUUCUUUUUCUCUUGUAGAUCCACUUUAUACCUUAUGGGUUUUAUUCCUUCCGGUAAGUCUACAAGUUCCCACAUUGAGUUGGAAUACAUAGAGUCCAUCUUAGCAUUCAUAGGUAUUUCCCCAGGCUCUAAAUCAACACUCUGCGUCGCUUUGUCAAAUGUGAGUGGGUAAGCAUCUUUUUGUUCAGCAGACUCAGUGUUUAAAGCACUUUCACCAGAUUGGAAGAACUCAAGCCUACGAGUGUAACACCCCUAACCCAUAUUCGUCGCCAAAAUAGGGUUACAGAGCAUUACCGAAGUUUUCAAAUCAACGAAUAUAAAUUUCAAAAAUUUCGAAUCAUAUCAAUAAUCAUAUUAAAACAAAUCCAAAUCAUGCAUAUUGUCCCUUAUAUAAGCCUUCGAGGCUCUAAAAACACAUUAGAAACAAUUCGGGACUAAAUCAGAAACUCAAAGAAUUUUUAAGAAAAUAGUGAAAAUUUUCAACACUAUAGGGGUCACAAGGCCAUGUGGGCAUUCAAAGUAGGGACGCACGACCGUUUCCUAACCCGUGCCUAUGCCCGUAUAACUCACUGACCUGGGCCACACAUCUGUGUGCCAGGCCGUGUACCUUUCGAAAUAACCUCAUACGCCCGUGUGCCAGCAGUGUGCUAGGUUGUGUAACAGCUUGACUUGGAACCCUCUGAAAGCUACAGGGGACACACAGCCAUGUCGCCUGCCCGUGUGUCACACACGGCUGAGACACAUGCCCGUGUCUCUACCAUUAUGGAUGAAAAUAGGCCAUUUUACAAGCCAUUUUUCUCAUCCAUCAUGGCAUGUACCUACAACCAAAAUUGCCCAUAUAUAAAAGCCAUAACAAGGCACCAAAAUCGUGCAUAUUCUAGCUAUUUACAUGUGGUAUAAUAACAUAAAACCAAUAUGCCCAAAGGCACCUCAAAUAACUACAUCAAAACAUGGACAACCAUGUACUCAAUUUGCCAAAAUAAACAAUUAACUUCUAUACAUAUUUGCAUCAAUACAUACCAUUGAAUUUACUUACCAAAACAUACCAAAUGGUACUAAACAUGCAAUUCAGCUACUAACAUUAACAUUCAUAUAUGUCAUUCACAACAAAGUACCAAUUCACCACAUUUCCAAAAACAAGGCACAUGACAUAUAUAAUAUACAUAUUCGUUACUAUCAUUUCAUCUUCCAUCAUUCAAACAUAUUAAACCAAACAUCAAUCAUUUUAAGGCUACUUAUAUACAUACCAAAAUAUGUCAUUUCACCAAAAAAAUGUCAAAACACAAGCCAAGUCAAAUGGCCAUAUCAACAACCAAAACACAUAAGCUCAUAUUAGCCAAUAUACCUAUACAUGCCAUUAUAACCAAAAUAAAAACAACUGAAAGUACGAAAAGAGUCGAUGGAUAGUGUGAUAUAGCUCCGACAAGCUUCCAACCCGAACAAGCUUCUGAUUCACUAUAAGACAUGGAAAAUAAGACAGAGUAAGCAUUUAAGCUUAGUAAGUUCGUAUAACAUUGAACAUAACUUACCAUUUAAUCAUAUAAUAGGUACGUAAACAUAGCAUAUCCCAACAUAAUUUGGCCAAAUGCCUAAGCAUAUACAUCAAAACAUGUUAGCCAUGUAAAUACAUAUAUAAACAAAUAAACAUAGAUGAGCACAAAAUUUGAUUAAGUUUCAUAUACAUGUAUCAUCCAUUUCAUUUCUCAAUACACCUUGUAUCAUCAUUUCAAUGUAAUUCACAUUUAUCCCUAUAAUAGUUCGUAUUGAACUCUUACCAUUUUGUGUUAGAAUAAUGCCCGUUGAAUCGUUUAGAAUACCAUUGGAUACCCGGGAUAGCUCACAUAUAGUGUGCUAACUCAUAUAACUGUAAUCCAGCAAAUCCUGUACAUGUAUGCUCACACGAGCUGUAAAUCAGAAUGCUCACACGAACUGUGAAAAUAAGCCUGCUCACACGAGCUGUGGUUCGGAACGUAGCUACACGAUGUUGCUCACACGAUCUGUGGAGUAUCCACAACACAUGCCGGACCUCAGCUAUCGGUAGGACGUUCAGGACCAGCACUCGAAUCUUGUAAACCCUAAUGACUUGUUAUUUGUAUCCUACGAAUUCCUAAGGUACAAACGGGGCUUGCUAAUUGUCAUACGUCUUCGGAUAUGCAACUGUGUAUAAAUAUAAAAAUUCACAAUUCAUUCAUAAUUCAAUAUAAAACAUUUAAACACAAUUUAAUCACAUGAACUUAACUUAACGAGUAAACGUAGAUGCGGAGAUGACUAAUCCGAGACUUUAUCUUUGCCCUAAUCUAAAGCCAUCACAUUCCACUAUCUUCAUUAGUGGUCUAAUUAUUGUAUAAGGAAUAUUAAUUUAAGCUUCUAUAGCUAUUUAAUACUUUUAGCUAUUAGAACUCAACUUUUACACUUUAAGCGAUUUAGUCCUUUUUAUCAAAUUAAACAUGUAAACGGUAAAAUUUCUUAAUGCAAUUUUUAUACGAUACUGCUAUCAUGCUGUAAGCAAUAAAAUAAUAAAAUAAAUAUUUCAACUUUAAAUUUGUGGUACCAAAACCACUAUUCUAUUUUCACUGAAAAUGAGCUGUUACAACGAGAGACAUUUCCUACGGAACAUAGAUAAGUUCGCUGAGAUAGUAAACACGGGUAAGUCCACUAGGACAAAAAGAAAGAGGUAAGAAGGGUAUAAGACCAUAGCUAGGCUACAAUAUCCCAUAGAGUCCGCCAUGUGAUGAACAUGAAAAGACAACCCGAGCCUUAGAUGACGUGUAUAGGCUUGUGCGCUAAUCAUAAAAGGCCAUGAAGUGGAAGAAAGUGUAAGUAUGGUAAAAAAAUCAUGAGGAAUCCACCAAAAAAUGGUAGUAGAUGUGAAAGCUAGCAAGGCAUGGGAAAAUAACAGCUAAGAACUAGAGAGAGGUAGGCAGUUUAGGAGCUGGCCUAAAGAUAGAAGGUAGAAGGAGACAGAAUGUCUGUCAAGACUAUUCCACUUUAAAGAAAGUCUACUGCAGAUAUGCCGUCAUGAUAAUAACUACCAUGAUAAUAGCCUCUAGAAAGAGGGUGAGCAAUUGGAUAGUGACUUGUAUAGUCCCAUGGAUGCUAUCUUGUUGGUCUAGUAGGUUAGAUCGACCUAUGUGUAUGGGAUAAGUGAGGUUUAAAGUAAAGGCAGAAGUGAGGGGCGAAUUACUAAAAGUAAUUUCCCCACUACGAACACAAGGAUAGAAUCAAGGUAGAUACACCAAAGGGUAUGUCUUAAGAACCCUUGGGUGGAAAGGAAAGGAAGCUAAUGUAAAGGAUAACAAACAUCUAGAGUGAAGAAAGAGAGUAAGAAAGGAAAUACAAGAAGUAAGAAUAAGACUCACUGAUAAGGAGAAGUACUUAGGAUAUGAACAAGUCGAGAGCUUAACUAGAGGAAGGUCUAAAAGUAAGUUGAGUAAUUAAGAGGACUGGGUGUAGUCUGCCAUUCCGAUAAAGAAUGUCCUCCUUAAGCGAAAAUAGAGUUAUUUUUAUGUUUAUUUUAUUUUAUUUUACAUUUGUUACCCCUGGGUGUGCUAGGGUUAUUAUGAAUGGUAAAUGAUCUCACUAAGUUCAUUUGAACUUAAAGUAGUGUGCUAAUGUUCACAAGAUUUUUGGGGUUGAUUGAGGACUUUGAGGAUGGACCCAUCCAGAUGGGAAGUGAUCACUGAUCGUAGGAAGUUUAGAGUCAUGCACAUAGGAAUGGGCUACUGUUGGCGAUUUUGCUUCAGAAUUUAUUAUGGUGUAACCAGACGACGUCCUUAGAGACUAGAAUUAGUAUCAGUUAGCCUUAGUUGAAUCUUAGGAAUUAUUUGUAAACUAACAGUCUGAGUAGAGAUGGAAAUAAUUCGAAGGAUUAAAUUUUCAGUGGCUUAAGGUAUUAAUCAUAAGGAUGAUUAUUUUUAAUUUCAAUAUUAGAUAUUUUAUUUUUAUAAUGUUGACACUCCAUACCCGGAUUCGACGAACGGGUGAGACGUGGGGUGUUACACACACGGGCAUCAAUUUUACAUAUUUUAAUAUCAUCCCUGCAAUUGUUCACAUUUACAUAUUAAACCCUAUACAUGUUCAUAUCUUUCAUUUUCAUAUCAUUUAAUCAUUCGUAUUUUCACAUUUGUACCAUAUAUUAUUACGUAAUAGUCAUUUAUCAUAUAAUAUUUCAAUUCAGUCCAUUACUAGUCAUAUAUGCCAAAGUCACUAGUAUUUAAACUAUAUUCAAACAUAUAUAUUUAAAAUUAAACAAAAGUAUAAAUAUAACAAAAAUUGAGAUAGUAAGUUCCAUAUGACCUUAUUUGUUCAAAAUAUGAGCUGAAUGAAUACUUCAGGGACUAAUCCAAAAUUUUAGCUUUUCCCCUAUUAACUCCACUUUGAUCCAAAUCUUGAUCUACACAGUUAUUUUAUAUAACCAAUCAAUACCAUACAUUUUAAUACUAUGUCAUGAUGUGCAUGAUCCAAUAUAAACCCAUUUUAAAGUCCCCUCAUAUUUUACAUUUUAUUCAAUUUAGCCCUUAAACUCGGGAUAAAUAUAACUUUCGAUUCCUAGCUUUGGAUUAAAAUCUGAUUUCACAUAUUCUCAUUAGGGAUCUUAUAUUUUCUAUUUCUAACAUAAUUUCAUGAUGGGUUUUAAAUUUAUUCAAUUUGGUCCCUAAGGUAACAAAGUUAACAAUUAAGUUAGAUUAACUUUACAAUCUAGUCCUUUCCAUAACCUGAACUUAAAAUCUAUCAAUUUCAAGCCUAAUUCAUCACUUAAUCAACAAUGGUAACUUCUUAAAAAUGUAAUAGUUUAUCAAUUUGGUACAUGGGCUAGCUAAAUCAAGCUCCCCUGGUCACAAAUCCAUAAAAAUUACAAGAAAAGAACUUGAUUUCAUUACCUAAUUAGUAGUCGAAUGGUAGGAGGAAAUUUUUGAAGUUUUCUUAAAUCUCUAAGUUCCUUAACUAUUUCCACCAUUAAUUACACCUUUUCAAGGAACUUAGUGUAAUCAUAAAUAUUCCAGAGUUCAUUAUUCAUCUCAACAUUUACUAUUCAUGCCUUGGCAUAGUACCAUUUCAAUAUGAAAAUUUUGAGGAUAAUACAACUCUCUCUUCUUAUGAAAUUUAAUCUUCAAAAUGUACCUGAAUCGAACAAUUGAGGAUGUUGUUGACGUAUUCCUUCUUCACUCCUAGGUGGCUUUCUCGACAUUGUGAUUUCUCUAUGUAACUUUGUUUUGGAGUAUGCUCCAAGACCAAUCACUAUAUAAUUAUAAUAACAUACUUAUUUACCCUUUUAUCAAUUAUUGUGUUACCAUUAUUAUUUUGAACAUUUAUUUGUGUAUUAAAUAAAUUGAUUAAUAAUUAAAUUUUUUGAAUAAUAUAAUUAUUCUUAUAUUGUCCUUCCUAGAGUAUUAAUGUGGGCUAGGACAACAAUAAUAUAUUGAGUAUACUGUGUAGUUCAUUGAUGUGAAGAUGUUUUCAUUGAUAUGAGAUAUCAAGUCAGCGCAUGGUUACAUGUUUAGCAGAACAAUGUAUUGGAUUGAUCGUUCCUAAGAAUGCUUAUUGAAUUAUUAUGUAAUAAUCAGCACAAUUCUUAUAGUGAUAAUUAUGUGUAUGAUCCUUACACUAAAAGUUACCAUAAUUCCAACAUUUAGAAUCGUAUACUUUGACACAGUCAAAUUUUUACAAAACACCUAGAAUCAACACUAUUAAGACUGUUGUUGGGUAUACCUGUUACAAAACAUCAAAGGUGCGCGUGGUGGAAUUUUAAAAUUUUUAAUACAUAUAGGAUCAUUUUAGAUAGUUAGAAACAAUAACUCAUUGAUGAUAUAGUACUUUAAUGUGUUUUGAUCCACUUUGACAAGUUAGAGAAGUUGAUCUGCGAUUAAUCACGAAUUGCACGCAAGGAAUUGUGCUCAUUUACGGAAACUACCAUAUCUCAGGCCACAAAAGUCAAACUCUGGUGAUUCAAAAAUUGUUGGGAAGUGGAAUUGAAAAUCUACAAUUUGGGCAUAAGAAUCGACUCAAGAAGUGGUCAGAAGUUCUCGUAAGGUCUAGUAGAAGUAACCCUUGUGAAACCCAACGAUUAAUUUUGAACUUUUUGUACGAAAUUGCAUUGCUUUACGAAAAUGACAAUAUCUCAGGUUAUAAGUCACAAAAUCUAGUGAUUUAAAAACCAUUUUGAAGAUAAGUUAAUAAUCUACAAUUUAGGCACUAGAAUUAGCCUAAAAGCUGGUCAGAGUAUAUAAAAAAGUCCAAUUGAAAUUGACAUUACAGAAUCCUACGAGACUGGUUUUGGAUUCUCACAUAACUUGAAUAUUUACUUUUAACUAAUUAGACCCUCCACCAUUCUCUAACUCACAAAUUGCAUGAGUGGGCAUCCUUCCAAAUGUAAAAACAAGUACUCACUCAAAACUUCAUAAAGAAAAAUGAUUCCAAAAAAACUCCAUCUUUUUAAUUGAACAAGCAGAUUGACAACUAAGGAUUUCUAGUUUUCAUCAACUUGAUAAUUUCCAUCAAUCUUUUCUUUGUACCCAACAUAUGAUAUUUAUAGAGAGUUUAUUAGAGUUCUAAUUAUUUGAAAUUACCAAUAAAAUAAAGAGUCUUAAGCUAAUUUAACAACCGUGGGAGACAAACCUAAUAGAUCCCAUUGGUUCACCAUAGUAGCUAUCUACAAAACUUAAUCCAUUUUGUAGUUUCUUUAAUUUUAAGUGGUUUUUUUUUGUUUGGUCUCCAUUAGGAAUAAAAUCCGUAGAUUAUAUUUCCUUCAAAGUUCCUUGAGGGUACAAGUUGUCAAAUAUUGCCCUAAUCUUAAAAUUUUUUAAUUCAAAAUAUUCAUGGUUAGUGUCAUAAGAUAAAUCAACAAAGUAACAUAGUAGAAAUCAAUAAAAACCUAGAACCAUACAAAUUUACUUCCCUCAACCCAACAAGCUCUUAAAAUAAACAUGCGAACACAACAAAGGGCAAAGUAAGGCAUAAAAGGGAACACAAAAAUAUAAUGUAGAACUUACCCAUCUCUUCCAACCUGAUUCCCCUCAAGAAACUCAAUUGAAGAUUGUCCUCAGUUCCACCAUUGAAAACAAUCUAGAAUCCAUUUGUAGCAGCAAAAAAAAAAAACAACCCACCCUUUGUUAACAGCAACCAAAUGGUCAUUGACAAAAUUAUCAAACAACAAUCAAAUUCCAAUCAAACGAAGAACCCAUAGAUCAAACAAACAUAGAGCCUCAACAUAACCCGCUACCAAUUCCCUCUAAGAAAAUUAUCUCUAACUUCAACCCUUAGUCCCUUUGUCAACUACAACCUAAACCUCACUUCUAAGGAAAGACACCAAAACCCACUUCUAAUUAGCAAUCCAAUCAAAAAUCAAAACAACAAACUGAAAAAAUCCCAACUCAAUUGAUUUAGUAGGCCACAACAUAACAACCACAAAUCCACUUAAACUUUAGAAACCUUAAACCCCAUGAAUUACCCCUGUUAAGUGGUCUCCUAAUAAUGGACGUUUUUCUUUUUUGGCCAGAUAAUAAUGGAAGUUGAAACAAAGCAAAAAUUAUUUUUACACUAUGUUUAGGGGUUGAUUCAUCAUUCUUGUAUUACUGCAAAAAGGAGAUAAUGAUGAACAUCGAAAAACUUUUUACAUAAGAUCUUUUGAAUAAAAAUAUAAAUCUUCUCAUAAAAUAAACUAUUUUCUCAUAUAUGUAUUAUAAUAAGUGUGUGUUAUGGGAGGAAUUGCAAGUUUGGUUUCUGCCAAUUUUUGCCGCUAUAAUUAACUAUUAAGGGUGGGUAGAUUAGUUAGUCAAAACGGAGCAUUUUGAUAUUUAGUUAAACGAUGAGUAUUGAAUUAAAUUAAAUGGUGCAUUUGGGUUUAUGUAUCAGCUAUUGUGAUAGAUUUUGUAAUCACCUAGUUGUUUCUCAGGUCCCUUUGGCUGGUUAAAAGAGGAGAACGAUUCUACAUAAUGAUUAUGCAUUUUUUGAUGAAUUGAAUUUGUUUCGUCUCCCUUCUUCAUCCUUUCUCCUUCUCUUUAUUAUUCUGUCUCUCUAUUUCUUUUGUUUUCUUCUAAAUUCUCUACUUCUAUUUCUGUCUUUAUUUCUUUUUCUACUUUUCUUCUGGCUUUCUAUUUUUUUCCAUAAUAAAGGUAUCAGAGCUUUAGUCGAUUCUCAUGGCCGACAGUGGUGGUACCACAUAGUUAUAAUAGGAUGUGGACAUUUUGUGUCCCAACUCGAUGCUAAGUUGGAUGCCAAGUUAAAGGCCACAUUCAAGGAGUUUAAGGAUGAGUUCAAGGGUGAGUUACGGUCUGAGCUUCAUUCCUUGUUUGGGCAGUAUUUGGGGUACCAAAAUCUUUCCAUGAGAAACACAAAAACUUUAGUUAGAGGUAAGGGAAUUUUGGAGGGACCUUCCCCUGGAUUCACUCCUAAAGAACCCAUAGAGGUCUCCACUAGAGAUUAAUUACAUGUUCUAGAGAAACUUUAUGUUAUAGAAUCUAUGGAUAAAGAUAUAGCAAAUCACACACCUAUAAAACCCUCAUCAAUAGAGUCUACCCCCAUUCCAACUAGGGAAGGAAGUAAAAGAUCAGGAGUUAGCAACUACAUUACGCAAUGUGGAUAAGUUUGCGGUUGAUUUGGAGCAUAGCCAAUAUCAAUCUUUUCAAGGAUUGACUUUCUUGAUGCAAAUUUCCACCAACACUAAGGAUUUUAUUGUAGAUACUUUAAAGCUUCGGAUUCAUAUUGGUCCAUAUUUUUGAGAAGUAUUCAAGGAUUCCAUGAAGAAAGAGGCUAUGCAUAGAACAGACUGGGAUAUCUUGUGGCUUCAACGGGACUUUAACAUAUACUUGUGCAAUCUCCUUGACAUUAGAAAGGCCUCAAAAGUCUUGAAAUUGGAACAAAAUAGCUUAGAUCAUCUUCUAAAAAACUAUUGUGGAGUUACUGCCAACAAUGAGUACUAGACUGCAGAUUGAAGAUUACGACCUCUUCCUGAUGAAAUACUCAAGUAUGCGAGAGAAGACACACGUUAUUUGUUGCAUAUUUAUGAUUUCAUGAGAAUCAAACUGCUACCGGUACCAAAGGAUCUUGUACAUUUUGUUGCUCUUUUGGUAGAUGUUUAUAAGAAAAGUUCUGAUAUACGUAUGCAAUUGUAUGGAAAAGAGCUAUUGAUGGAGAUUUCAUAUCUCCAUAUAUAUGGGUUGUAGGGAGUUGGUUUCAAUGUGAAGUAGCUAGCCAUUUUGGUUGUGUUUUGCGAAUGGCUAGAGAUUAUUACUCGUACGAAGGAUGAAAUCACUGGUUACGUCAUAACAAACAGAGUGCUUCUUAGAAUUGCCAAACAAACACUUGAAGUAGCUAGCAAGUUACAUUGAAUGUUGAAAUCUAAACACCCAUAUGUAGAGCUAAAUCUUAGUGCAAUUGUUAGCGUCGUCAAGCAUUCUAUUCAAAAUUCUAUUACGUAUGAAGUUGUUAUCUACUUCCAAGUGCGUGGCAUGUUAGCACAAUUGGGUUAUGAAAAGUUGGAUGAUAUAAUUGGAUGAACAUAUCUGCUAAAACCACGAGAUAUCUCACUAGUGAAAACCCAACAUCUUAAUCUAAAAUAUAUCUUGUCGAAUGUUAGAUUACCAAAGUGGGGCAGUACUACCAUCAGGGCUCAAGAAGUUCACUCAAAUGGUCCUGUUUUGAAUGAUAGUUUACUUGUUGAUCUUGAGGUAUCUCAUGCAAUUGAAAAUGAGAAAGAGGUGCAUAAGACUACAAAAAUAUACAAUACGGAUCGAGCUGUUUGUGGUCGUAUAGCAGGUGUGAUUACAAAAAGAUAUGGUGACAUUGGGUUUGCUGGGCAGAUUAAUAUAAGAUUUAUUAGUGAUGUUGGGAAAUUAUUUGCAUGGUUCUUGAUUCCUUGAAUGAAUAUUCAACUUAUUGGAGAAGCUAACGAUUAUGUGGGAAAUGGUAUGGCUGAAGGUGAAGUGGUAGUAACCCCUACAGAGAAUUUUGGGUUCUACCCUGAAGAUGCAACUAUUGUAGGAAAUACAUGUUUGUAUGGAGCAAUAGGUGGAUAAAUAUUUGUUAGAUGGAAGGUUGGAGAGCACUUUACUGUAUCUCACUUGCCCAAGCAAUGGUAAAAGGCACCGAUGACCAUUGCUGCGAGUACAUGAUUGGUGGUAGUAUGGUUAUACUUGGAAAAAUGGAGAGAAAUGUUGUUGUUUGAAUGACUGGAGGUUUAGCAUACAUACUUGAUGAGAAUGAUACUAUAAUACCCAAGGCAAAUAAGGAAAAUUUGAAGAUCCAAAGAGUGGCUGAUACGAUUUCUCGAGCUUGAAGGGUUCAAAAAAUAGCUUGAAUGGGAUGGACUAUCUUGAAAGGGUUCAAUUGGUGGAAACCUCAACUCGUAGCACUCUAAUGCUUUAAGGAACCAUAACUAUAUUAAAACUAUGACCCACUUAAACUUCAUAGAAUACUCAAAUUUUGGUAAGCGAAGUCGCCACACUCCAUGAUGGGAAACGAAGUGAUAAGACAAAAGGUUGAACUCCACAAACUCGUAAAAAGUUUGAUAAGUUCAAUUUAGUUUAAUGAAGAACCGAGAAAGAAAUAAUCUCACCAACAAAGUUAUAUUCAAGAUAAUUGUGUAACCUUAAAAAAUGUUCAAAACGAGCUUUAUAUAGACCUAGAGGUGACCUUUCACAUUCGACACCUAUACUAGCCAUUAUCACAUUCAUUCAAUUAAUUUAAGUUAGGUUCAUAACUUAUGGUGUAUAGUUGAAAAGACUUGUCUCAUCACUUGACCAUAUGUAGUUGAAAAGGCAUGUCUCUUCUCUUGUUCCUUGUGUAGCUUAAAAGUUAUAACCUCCAUUUGAUGAAUGCUUAAUCUUCCUUUAUUGUGCUAUUGAUGGCUCCUUCAUUUUCCCCUUAUUCGAAUUCAUUAGUGCUUGUAUAUUCAUCUCUUUUAUUGGCACCAUGGUUGAGCUUUAAGUGCACCAAAAACCGAUCAGAAGUUGAAGAGCCGUCCUUGGUCAUCUAAAUAGUCACCUUAAACAAGAGUAAAUGGAUAUUGAACAUUUGCAAUCCUUUCAUUUUCUUAUUCAACUUAAAACACCUUAUUUAUAAUGAAAAGUAACAUACUAUAACUUAUGCAUAAAAAGUAACAUCCAAAAUAAAUAACACACUUCACACACUUAUGACACUAACUCAUGCUUAAACUAAAUGAAAAAAUAAGAUGGCUAAAUGCAAGGAUUAAUCAAGAUGCAAACUAAAUAAACAAAUGAAUUACGUAAUGCAUAACAUAAUUUAAUAUGCAAACUUAAUUAACAUAGGAGUUACAUAAUGCAUGACAUAAUUAAAACACAAACUUUAUUAACAUGUGAAAUGCUUUAAUGCAUGACUUAUUUAAAUGAUGAACACAUAAUGCUAGUAACAAUUUAAAGAUGCAAAUAAAUAAGGAAAAACAUUAAUUAAAUAUGCAAACGUAAACUAAAAUAAAACUUAAUUAAAGUUUCUUUUUUAAAAUGUUGCAUGAUUAAUUCAAACCUAACAAAGGUUUCACCUUGCAUUUAGGCCCUCUGAGCUUAGGCCAGUCUCGAGUCCUUCUUGACGAGUCGCAUGAUGUGACUAAAAUCACAUUAAUAACUGCCCCUAUUCUAUGUAAUUCUAAUAUUCUAAAAUUCAACAUCAAACUUACAUCACACAGAAGGUUUAUUCCAACACACAACAAGGGUAUACCACCUUCUUAUUAUAUAAUUGUAGGAUUUGUGUUUGCAACUAUAUUUGUUCCAUAUUUAAGUUUUGAGUAUGGAAAGUUUAUGAAUACGAAGCUCCAUUAAAGCUACUGGAAAAACUCUUGCAUUUUGUUAGAUGAUGUGUUUAGGGCUGGUAACAUGGAUUUUUAAAAUUGUUUAGUUGUGUUUCAAGUAGUUGCUAUUUUUUAGGCAUUUUAUUUAUGUUAUGUUCAUGGCUUAAGCUUAGGAUCAUGUUGUUAGUGGGUUGUUUUUUAUUUAAAUUGUAAAACGUUGCUGAACAAAGUAGUAGUCUAGUUUUUAUCCUUUCAUAAGCUUUCUUUUCUGAAAAAAUACCAACAAUUUGGUAUCUGAGCUUUCUUCUUAAGGGACCUGUAUGAGGGUUUGACGUAUCAUGGAAGUUGAAGUUAAUUUCUCUUCAAUUGCACCACCAAUUUUUUAUAGAGACACCUAUCAGAUUUGGGUAGUACAUAUGGAGACAUACUUGGAGGCUUUGGAUCUUUGGGAAGUAGUGGAAGAGGAUUAUGAGAUUAUUCCAUUACCAACCAACCCCACCAUGGCACAAAUCAAAGCACAAAAAGAGAAUAAUACAAAGAAAUCAAAGGCAAAACCAUUUUUGUUUGCUACAGUUUCAUCAACAUUUUUACACGAAUUAUGUCUCUAAAGUCAGCAAAGGAGAUGUGGGAUUAUCUCAAUGCUGAAUACGAAGAAGAUGAGAGGAUUCAUGGGAUACAAGUGUUGAAUCUUGUACGUGAUUUUGAGCUGCAAAAGAUGAAGGAGACUAAGUGUAACACCCUUAACCCAUAUCCGUCACCAGAAUAAGGUUACAGAGCAUUACCAUAAAAACGUAACUCAAAUCAUUAAUUUCCAACAUUUCAUAAUCAUAGCAAAACCCAUUCAAAAAAAUGCAUAACGUCCCUAAUUCGAGCCCUCGAGGCAUUAGAAACACUUUAGAAAUGAUUCGGGACUAAAUCAAAAACAUUUAGAACUUCAUGGAAAAAUAUAAAAAAUUCACACUGCAGGGGUCGCAUUACUGAGACACAAGCCCGUUUGGACAUUCAAAAACAUUUAGAGCAUUACCGUGUCCGUGCCCGUGUAACUCUCUGACUUGGACCACACGGCCAAGCCACACGCCCAUGUGUCACGCCAUGUAACUCUUGAAAUACCACUUUUAAAACCUAUAGGGGACACACAACAGUGUCGCAUGGCCGUGUGUCAGACAUGGCUGAGACACAUGCCCGUGUCUUAGGUCGUGUUGACAAGAAAUAGGCCAAAUUCAAGCCAUUUCUUUCACCCAAUUCAAGCACACCCUUACAAGCCAUUUGCACAUGAAACCAAGCCUUAAAACAUACCUAAGUCAUGCAUAUUAAGACCAAUUCAAUAGGUCAAUUAUCCAUACUACCAAUAUGCCAUAAGGCAUCUCAAUCACAUAAAUCAAACAUACCUAACAUGUGCAUAUUUAACCAUUUAUCAACUAACUUUUUUCCAUACCAAAACAUAUCAAAAUUGACACCCAUCAGCCAUGCCAUAUCAAAAUAACCUUACCAUUUGAACCAAUUCACACAUGCAUCAAAACCAUGUAAGUGACACCAAACUAGCCAUUUCUAAAUGGUUUCAACAACCAACAUAUAUACAUACCAAAUUUGACUCAUGUACAUUUAUUCAAAAGCUUUCCAAAGCAUACCAUAACUUGACCAUAUUGUGGUCAAUCCCUCACCUACAAUUUUUGCCAUUCAAAUAAACAUUAAUACAUUGUCAAAAUAACACACAUCAAUAAGGCAUCAAAAGUACCAAGGUUACACCAACCAUAAUGACAUAUACAUGCCAAACGAAUCAACUAAUAUAAAACACAAGUCCACCUAUACAUGCCAUUAUAACCUUGAUCAAAACAUCAAAAUCUACCAAUAUAAUCGUUGGAUAGUGUGAUAGAUCUCUGACAAAUUUCCAAACCGGUCGAGCUUUCGAUAAUCUGCAAAGUAAAGGAAACAACUACGUAACCAAUAAAUGCUUAGUAAGCUCGUAGAACAUGAAACAUAGCUUAUCACUUUAAUAUUAUAAUACAUAGAUUAAAACCAAUACUUUAAACUUGGUAAAAACCUAUUGAACUCCAUUCAACUCGCAUUUUAGUAUAUUCAUCAACAUCACAUAUAGUUUUUAUAUAUAACAUAUUGGGAUUUAUAAGUCGUAAUACAUAAUCAUUAACCUUUUCAUAAGAUUACGAAUCAUUCUAUUUACUUACUUUCCCUUCCAUUCCGAAUGUUUAGCAUAAGCCUAAACAACAUUAUCAUUUCACGAAUUAGUAUAUGUAUCCAUGAUAUAAGUAAAUUCUUUCUUAGCAUAAAUAGACUUCUCACAUAUAAGUACAUCAUUAAUGCCAUCAACCUUUUUAUAACAUCAUAAUACAUCCCAAUUAUGAUCUUAUCGUUUCAUUCCCUUUUCCUACCCAUUUCAUAUGCAUAGUGUAAGCAUAAGCAUAAACCUCAAUCAUAACCACAAGCUUGGCACAAGCCUAAGCACAUCAUCAACACAUGUUAGUGCAUUUAAACAUAAUUCAUAUGAAUUUAACAUGGAUAACCAUUAUAAUUCAGCAUGAUUCAAUUGGAUUUAUCAUCCAUCAUAACAUAACAUGCUUUUCAUGUAUCUCACUAUUUCAAUGUACUUCAUAAAUACGUGUCUUGGUUUAUAUUGAACACAUACCUUUCCUUUCCUUUCCUUUUUCAUGCCCGUUGAACCGUUUAAAAUAUCAUUAGAUACGUGGGAUAGCUCACACUAAGUGUGCUAACAUAUAAUUGUAACAUUUCCUUUCCUUUAUAACAUUUCUCACACGAGCUGUGAAAUGAGUCUGCUCACACGAGCAGUGAAAUGGGCCUACUCACAUGAGUUGUGGGUCGAAAUGUAAGCUACACAAUGUUGCUCACAUGAGUUGUGGAGUGUUCGUAACACAUGCCAGACCUUAGCCAUCGGUAUGACAUUCAAGACUAGCACCCGAAACAUGAAAACCCUAAUGACAUGUUAUUUGUAUCCUAUGAAUUCCUAAGGGUCAAACGGGGCUCAAUAGUCAUCAAAACGUCAUUGGAUUUCCAUCGUUUUGUUUCAUGAUAAAUUGAAUAAUAACAUAUAUAUAUUGAUUCAAUCACAAUAGAACCACAUUAACAUUCAAUUUAAUCAACAUCAUACAGAAUAUAGUUCAUACGAACUUACCUACCUAAAAUGCAGAAAUAUCAAAGUAUAGGGUUUUUUGGAAAAUUUUCAUUCUCCUCCAUUUUCCACUCGAUCUUGAUUUGAAUUAAUAAUUUCAUUCAAUUUAUUAAUAUAGAUAGUAAAAAAAUUUAUUCUAUGUAAUUUAGUCAUUUUGACAUUUUUACAAAAUUACCCCUAACAUUUUACUUUUAUUCAAUUUAGUCCUUGAGCCUAAAACAUGAAUUUAACCAUUUUUAUUGCAAAUUAAUAUUAUUUGAAUAUUCAUGGCACUAAAAAAAUCCCACAUAUGUAAUAAUUUCACAUAAAAUCUUAAAUUAUUACUAUUUCAAUAAUUUAGUCCCUAAUCGGCAAAUUCAUCAAAAUUACUUAAGAAAAUACUUAUAAAUAACAACUAAUACUCCAAUUUCAUUAUUUAACAUCUAAAAUCACAAAUAUUCAUCAAUGGCAUCAUUCAAAAUAUUUUACAAUUUCAAAAAUGAAGAUACGAGCUAGUUGGACCUAGUUGCAAUGAUCUCAAAAAUAUAAAAAUUAUUAGAAAUGGAUGAAAAAUCACAUACCAAUUUAGCUUUGAACUUGCCGAAAUUUCUAGGUUUCAAAUGCCUCCCUUUUCUCCUUUUACAAUCGACGAAGAAAACAAAUUAAAAGAUGAACAAACAUUUGGUUUUAUUUAUUUUAAUUUAAUUUAUCAAAUUACCAUUUUAACCUUGGUUAAUAAUUCAAUAAAACACAAAAGUCAUGUCCAUAUUUUUCCACUAACUCCUUAAAUGGUUUAAUUACCAUUCAAGUCCCUUUACUUUUAAUCGAGAAGCCAUUUAAUCACUCAAAUCAAAUAGUGAUCAAAUUUUACAUCCUUUACAAUUUAGUCAUUUUUAAUUAAUUAACUAUCGAAACUUUAAAAUUUAUUAACGAAACUUUAAUACAAACUUAAUAACACUCUAUAAAUAUUUAUAAAAAUAUUUACGACUCGAUUUAUAGAAACGAGGUCCCAAUACCUCAUUUUCUAAAACCACUUGACCUUAGGGUCUUACCACUUAAACUUAAUUAAUCAUUCGAAUAGCAUAAAUUGUCAUAUCAAAAAUCUUUUUAAAACCAUAUUUGACUCGUAAAUAAUAUAUUUAAUAUUUGCAAACUUACUCGUAAAAUUUGUGGCUCCAAAACCACUGUUUCUGACACCACUAAAAAUGGGUUGUUAGAUUGAGACAAUUAAUGAGUAUUAUGAUAUGCUCUUUAGCAUAGCCAAUAAGGUCAAGCUGCUAGGUUCCUCUCUGGCAUAUUCAAAGAUUUUGGAGAAAAUCCUUGUAAUAGUGCUUGAGAGAUUUGAUGUUACUAUCACCACUUUAGAAACACGAAGGAUCUGUCAAAGAUUACUUUGGCAGAACUCUUAAGUGUUUGGCAAGCAUAAGAGCAGAGACCUGUAAUGAGGUAAGAAGGAGCCAUUGAAGGAGCUUUACCAGUCAAUAGCUGCAAGUGGAGAAAAAUUAACUCUUGGAAUAGAAGUAAAGCUGGAAAUAAAAGAUCAGGGGAAAAGAAGGAUUAUUCUCUAUGUCAACAUUGUGGCGAAAAAGGUCACCCUCCUUUCAAGUGCUGGAGAAGACCAGAUGCAAAGUGUAGCAAGUGUAAUCAAAUGGGACAUGAAACUAUCAUUUGCAAGAAUAAAAAUCAACAGCAUGGAGAUGAAGCACACAUAAAAAAUAGGAAGACUUGCUUUUUGUUGCAACUUGUUUCACGAGUUUUGAAACAAGUGAAAGUUGGCUCAUUGAUAGUGAUUGCACUAAUAAUAUGACAUAUGACAAGGAAUUGUUCAAAGAAUUGUAGAGCACUAAGUCUAAAAAUGUUAAAAUUGGGAACGGUGAAUAUAUUGCAGUCAAAGGAAAGGGCACCGUAGCUAUUGCAAGCUGUUUAGGAACCAAGUUGAUCACUAAUGUUCUCUAUGUACCAGAUAUUGAUCAAAACUUGCUCAGUGUUGGUCAAUUCAUAGAGAAGGGAUUCAAAGUGAUAUUCAUGGAGAAGACAUGUGUGAUAGAGGAUUCUACAGGCCAAAAGAUGUUUGAAGUUAAGAUGGCAGAAAGGAGUUUUUCACUUAAUCCAUUGCAGGAAGAGCAAUUAGCUUUUUUACCAAAGAAAGCCUCUCAAUGGUGUGGCAUAAGAGGCUUGGGAACUAUCACUACGAAGGGAUAUUGUAGAUGAAGUCCAAAAGGAUGGAAAUUGAUCUUUUAAAAUUUGAUGUCACAUAACAACGUGCAAGGCUUGUCAAUUUGGUAAGCAAAUCAAAAAGCCAUUUCCCAAGUCAGCAUAGAGAGCCACCUGAAAGUUACAGUUAAUUCACAUAAACAUUUCUAGACCUUAAAGAACUCUCGCAUUAGCAGGUAAUCAAUAUUAUGUCGCUUUUAUUGAUUAUUUCACAAGAAUGUGUUGGAUUUUUUUCUUCUUAAAAUUCAAGUCAAAAGUGGCUGGAGUAUUUUGGAAGUUCAAGAAGAUUGUGGAAAAUCAAAGUGGCAGUCAAAUUAAAAUAUUAAGGUUUGAUAAUGGCAAGGAGUAUACCUUAGGAAAUUUCAAUGCAUUUUGUGAAGUAGCUAGCAUUGAGCAUCAAUUAAUAACCCUCUACACUCCACAAAAAAGUAGAGUUAGUGAAAGAAGAAACAAAUACAUCUUAGAAAUGACGAGAUGUAUGUUGCACGAGAAGAAUCUUCCCAAAUAGUUCUGGGCAGAAGCAGCUUAUAUUGUAGUUUUCUUGUAGAAUAGAUUUCCUACAAAAGCAUUCAAGGAUCAAACACCAUAUGAAGCUUGGUAUGGUCAUAAACCAUCAUUAAGUUUUCUCAAAAUAUUUGGUUGUUUGUGCUUCACUCAUGCUCCAUAGAUCAAAAGAGACAAGUUAGACAAAAGAGCACUUCCAGACGUAUUUAUCGGCUAUACACUGUUACAAAAGAUUAUAAAAUUUCCAAACCGCAAACUGGGAAAUUUGUAAUAAGAAAAGAUGUUCAUUUUGAGGAAGAUAAAGAGUGGAAUUGGGAUGAGGCGAAGAUAAAUGGCGAAACCGUAACAGACCUGCAGGUUAAGUUUCUUGCUUCAACCACAAAUGAAGUUGAAAAUUGGUAGAAUGAGUUGGUGGACGAUGCUCAUAUCAUAUCAAUAUUCAUAAUUAAACAAAUCAAAAUCAUACAUAAUGUCCCUUAUACGAGCCCUCGAGCCCUUAAAUACACAUUAGAAAUAAGUCAGGACUAAAUUAGAAACUCAAAGAAUUUUUUAAAAAAACAUUGAAAGGGGUCACACAGCCAAACUUGCAACUCUUCAAAAGCUACAGGGAGCACACAGCCGUGUCACCUGGCCGUGUGUCACACACGGCUGAGACACACGCCCCUGUCUGUGCCCGUUUGGCCGAAAAUAGGCCACUUUCCAAGCCAUUUUUCCUCACCCAUCAAGGCAUAUACCUAGAAUAAAAAAAUGCACAUAUAUACAAGCCAUAACAAGCUAUCCAAAUCAAGUAUAAGCAAGUCCUAUAGAUAUGGUAUAACAUCAUACAACCAAUAUGCCCUUAGGCACAUUAAAUGACAAUAUAUAAACAUGUCUAACCAUGUAUUCCAUUUGACCAAAUAAUCAACUAACUUAUAUACAUCUUUGCAUCAAUACAUAUCAUGUAAUUUACAUACCAAACAUAUACCAAAUAGUACUAAUCAUGCUAUUCAACCACUAGUAUCUAUAAUCAUUUAAGCCAUUCAAAAAAAGUAUCAAUUCUAAACAUUCCCAACAAGUCACAAGCCAUAUAUAAUAUGCAUAUUCAACCAUCAUUUCAUCUUCCAUCAUUCAACCAUAUUAAGUCAUUCACCAACAAUUAUAAGGCUAAUCCGAGACUUUAUCUUUGCCUCAAUCUAAAGCCGUACGAGGUCUAUCUUGAUCUAUACAAAUAAAUUUAAUUCAAUUUAAUAUUUAAUUCAAUCAAUUUAGCCCAAAAUCAUACUUUGCAAAAAUUACUAUUUUGUCCGUAUACUUUUAAUUUCUUUGCAAUUUAGUCUCUAGCUCAUAAAAAUGGAAAUUCUUGAAAUUCCACCAUAACCCACUAUCGCCGAACAUCAAUUAGGUUCCUAGCAUGCCCUAUAUUUCAUUUAUUUCACAAUUGCACCACGUAAAAAUUUUUAUUUUUCAAUUUAAUCCCUAAUUGACAAUUUCAUAAAAAUCUCUUUAGAAAAGUUGUUUAUCUAGCAACAACUAUCCAUUUUCUAUCAUCAAACAUCAAAGCUCAUGUAUAUUAAAAAGUAGAAAAACCCUAAUAGUUUGACAGUUUCACAAAUUAGUCUCCGAGCCAGCUAGAUGAAGACACAACAAUCUUGAAAACAUAGAUAUCAUUAAAAACAUGACAAAAAUGCAUACCUAAUCAAGCAAACAAGGAUGGCCAAAUGUUAAGCUUCCAUGUCUUUCUUUUUCUUUGAUUUUAGGUUGAAAGAAAUGUUAAAGAUGAUAACCUAAUUUAUGUUUUAUUUUAUUUUGUCAUUAUUUACCAAUUUACAUAAUUAACCUUUAAAAACAUUAAUAAUUACACAAAAUGCAAAGCCAUCAUAUUCCACUAUCUUAUUUAUGGUCUAAUUACCAUUUAAAGACUCACACUUUAAGGUUCUAUAGCUAUUUAAUACUUUUAGCUACUAGAACUCAACUUUGCACUUUACACGAUUUAGUCCUUCUUAUCAAAUUUAGCAUGUAAACGGUAAAAUUUCUUAACAAAAUUUUUAUACGGUACGUCUAUCAUGCUGUAGGAAAUAAAAUAAUAAUAAAAUAAAUUUUUUGACUUCAAAUUUGUGGUCCCAAAACCACUAUUUUGAUUUUACUAAAAACGGGUUGUUACAACUCUCAGCCCAAAUGGAUUUUCGUCCCCGAAAAUCUUACUAGAAAAGAGGUUCAGAUAUUGCUUUCUCAUAGCUUCAUCGGUUUCCCAGGUGGCUUGUUCUAUUCCGUGCCACUGCCAGAGAACUUUUAUUAAAGCUAUGUUCUUGUUUCUCAAUUCUUUCACCUCUCGUGCCAAAAUUCUGAUUGGUUUUUUACUGUACGACAUAUUAGGCUGAAUCUCGACAUUCGUCGAAGAGAUAACAUGUUAAGGGUCAGAUUGGUAUUGUCGUAACAUAGACACGUGAAUGACAUUAUGAAUAUUUUCUAGUUCUGACGGUAAGGCUAAUCAAUACGCAAUAGGUUCGAUUCUUUCAGUAAUCUCAUACGUCCCGAUAAAUAGAGGACUUAGCUUUCUGUUGCGGUCGAAUGGAAGAUCUUUCUUCUAGGGUGAUACUUUCAAGAAUACCUUAUCGCUGACUUGAAAUUCUAUGUCUUUAUGUUUAAGAUCCGUGUAUUAUUUCUAACGAUUUGAAGUUGCUUUCAAACUAUUUCGGAUCACUUUUACUUUUUAUUCAGUCUCAUAAAUCAAAUCAAUCCCGUGAAUCUUUUUUCACUGAGCUUAGUCCAGUAUAAAUGAGUUCAGUAUUUAUGACCAUACAAAGCUUCAUACGGUGCCAUCUUUAUGCUCGACUAAAAACUGUUGUUAUACGUGAAUUCAACCAACAGUAAAUAUUACUCCCAGUUACCUUCAAACUCUAAUACACAGCAACGAAACAUAUCCUCGAGAAUCUGAACUACUCACUCGGACUGGCCAUCGAUCUGAGGAUGACAUACAGUACUAAAAUGCAAUCGUGUACCUAAAGCUUCUUGUAACCUUCUCUAGAUUUGUGAUGUAAAUCGCGGAUCUCUACCCGAAUUGAUAGAAACUAGUACCCCAUGUAAUCUAACAAUCUUAGAAAUAUAUAACUUAGCUAACCUGUCAAGGGAGAAAUCUGUACGUACCGGAAUAAAAUGUGUUGACUUCGUCAAUCGAUCAACAACCUAAAUGACAUCUUUCUUUCUCAGAGAUAAGGAUAAACCCGAUACAAAAUCUAUAAUAACUCGAUCCCAUUUCCACUCCGGUAUCAUCACUUAUUGUAAAAAUCCAGAAGGUACCUGAUGUUUAGCUUUAACUUGCUGACAUACCAAGCAUCUCAAUACAAAGUAAAAAAUUUCACAUUUCAUUCUCGCCCACCAGUAUAUCUGUUUCAAGUCACUGUACAUCUUAUUACUUCUCGGAUAAAUAGACAAGCUACCACUAUGAGCUUCGUGUAAGGUUUACUGAAUGAGCUAUGGAUUCUUUGCUAGAAAAAUUCUACCGCUGAGCAAUAAACAAUCAUCGGGUCCUAUCUGAAAUUUUGAAUCAGAAGUCGACUUAUACAGUUCUCGUUUAACUAGCAACUCAUCAUCACAUUUCUAAGCUUCGUAAAUCUGCUGUAAAAACAUCGGUUUAGCUUUCAACUCGGCUAAGAUUGAACCAUCAUCAAAUAAUGUCAGUCGCAUGUUCAUUGCUCGUAGAGCAAAUAAAGACUUCUGAUUCAGAGCGUCAGCAACCACAUUCGCUUUUCCCGGAUGAUAAUCAAUAAUCAAUUCAUAAUCUUUUAACAGUUCGAGCUGUCUACGCUAUCUCAGAUUCAAAUCUUUCUUCGACAUUAGAUACUUCAAACUCUUAUGGUCGGUAAAUAUAUGACAUUUUUCACCAAACAAAUGAUGUCGUCAAAUUUUCAAUGCAAACACAAUAGCUGCCAACUAUAGGUCAUGUGUCAAAUAAUUCUUUUCAUGUGGCUUUAACUGUCUAGAAGCAUAAGCUAUAACUUUGCCUUCCUAAAUCAAAACACAACCUAAACCAUCUAAAGAUGCAUUACUGAAAAUCACAAAUUCUUUACCCAAUUCAGGCUGAACCAGAAUUGAUGCUUCAGUCAACAGUGCUUUCAACUGAUUGAAACUUUUCAAACAUUUCUUGGACCAUUCAAAUUUCACAUCUUUCUAUAAUAGUAAUGUCAUCGGUGUAGCUAUCAUCGAGAACCCUUUGAAAAAUCUUCGUUAAUAACUAGCUAGUCCUAGAAAACUUCUAACUUUGGAUACGUUUCUCGAUGGUUUCCAGUCAACAACUGUCGAAAUUUUACUCAGAUCAACUCUGAUACAUUCAGUUGAUACUAUAUGUCCUAGAAAAUUGACAUCUCGAAGCUAAAACUCACAUUUGCUAAAUUUAGCAAAAAUUUGUUUAUCUCGCAGGGUUUGCAACACAGUUCUCAAGUGUUUAGCAUGCUCGGACUCGUCUCGUGAAUAUAUCAAAAUGUUAUCAAUAAAAACCAAAACACAUCUGUCUAAAUAUGGUCUGAAGAUUUUGUUCAUCAAAUUCAUAAAUACUGCAGGUGCAUUAGUUAAACUAAAUGGCAUUACAAUAAAUUCAUAGUGUCCUUACCUAUUUCUAAAUGUAGUUUUCGUUACAUUCGAAUCUUUCACUCGAGCUGAUAGUAGCUAGAACAAAGAUCAAUCUUUGAGAAUAUUGUGACACCUUUCAACUGAUCGAACAAAUCAUCAAUUCAAGGCAAUGGAUAUUUAUUCUUGAUUGUAACGUUGUUGAACUGAUGGUAGUCAAUACACAAUCUCAUUGACCCAUCCUUUUUCUUAACGAACAGAACCGGUGCACCCUAAGGUGAAAAACUAGGUCGAGCAAAACCCCAAUCUGUCAAUUCUUGUAGUUGUGCUUUCAACUCUUUCAACUCAGUAAGAGUCAUUCUGUAAGGUGCUAUCGAUAUCGGUGAUGUCCUCGGUACUUAUUCAAUAGCAAACUCAAUCUCUCUGAUCAGCGGUAAUCUAGGUAACUCUUUUGGAAAAACAUCAGGAUACUCACAAACUACUGUACUGAUUCAAGCUUCGAUUUAGACACUUUAGAAUCCAAUAUAUAUUUCUGUGCUGACAAAGCUAAAAUAACUAUAACCCACUCGAAUUAUCUGAUUCAACGCGAAGCGUUUUAUUGUUCUGACAUUUCAAUACAAUACGCUUUCGUCUACAGUUUACAAUAGCAUCAUGUAGAUUUAGCCAAUCCAUGCCCAAAAUCACGUCAAAUUUAUCAAGCGAUAAUAGCAUCAAAUCAACCAAAAAAAUCGUAACCCCGAGUCAUCAAAUGACAAUUCUUGUAAAGUUUAUCAACAAGUACAUACUGAUCUAAAGGGUUCGAUGCUUUAACCAUGAAUUCAGUGGACUCAAUCAAAGUAGUAACAUCAGUAUCAAAAAUAGAGGAAGUAUAGGUAAUAACAUCUGGUGUAAAAGCAUCCUCUCGUGCGCGAAUAGCAUAAGCCCUAGUUGGCGCUCAUGCCUCAGAUCUCACAGCAGAGUCUUUCAUUACACUAUGGCUACCACUCACCUUUUCAAACUUACGAGGUGGUCUACAUCUUGCAGCAGCAUUGCUCAGCCUCGUAGUCUGAACUUUUUCUUUCACGAAUUUCUCUGGGAAAUCUUUAAAAUAGUGAUCGAGGGAACUACAUCUGAAGCAUGUUCCAUUCUUCAGUCGACACUCACCAUACUGUGGUCUUUUACAGUGCUUGCACUUGGGCCAAACAUCUCUGCCACUACCCACACUUGCUACAAAUGUAACCUGAUCUUUAGGACCCGAUUGUCGGUUGCCUCUAUCCCUACUAGAGUACCCCACUAAAGCCGUAGAGCGGUUGUGAUGUUCUUUUGAUCUCUUUUACGUUGACUGAUAUGACUUCCCAGUUGAUCUCUUUCUCGAGUCUCUAGCUUCAAAAUCAGCAUGUCUUUUCUCUUUACUCAGAUCCUCGGCCUUAUGUGCUUAGUCAACCAAUACAACGAAUUUUUUCAACUCAAGAAAUCCUACUAGAAGCUUAAUGUCUUCAUUUAACCCAUCUUCAAAUUUCUUACACAUUACAGUUUAAGUCGGAAUACACUUCCGGGCAUAUUUGCUCAGUCUAACAAAUUACCGUUUAUACUCUGACACAGUUAUACAACCCUGUUGAGUUCAAGAAAUUCUUUACGUUUCUAAUCUAGAAAUCUUUAACUAAUAUAUUUCUUUCGGAACUCAAUUUGAAAGAAUUCCAGGUGAUCCGCUCUUUUGGCACUAUAAAAAUCAACGUGUUCCACCACUGAUAAGCUGAAUCUUUCAACAAAGAUACAACACACUUAACACAUUCAGCCGGUGAACAAGACAAUUCAUCGAAAAUUGUGAUUGUAUUCUCUAACCAGAAUUCUGCUCUCUCAAGAUCAUCUUCAGUAGUAGCUCAGAAUUCUUCAGCCCCGUAUUUAUGAAUCUUAUCAAUAGAUGGCUUAUUAACUUGUAUAGGUUCCAAACCUUGAGGAAUAACAGGAACUGGUUGGGGAGCAGGAGGAGGUGGAGGUUGUUGAGCAACCGAAUCCGUCCGUACGAACUCAGUGAACCAUUCAAUCAUCAUUUGGAAAAAGGCUUCCUUAGCCUCUCCUCCUCGGCCCUCAAAUACGGGCCUUGCACUGCUCGGUGCUACUCCGCAAAUAGAGGAUUGAGCAUUGCUUUCUACUUCAUCGGCGUCAGCUCGAUUGGAUGUCUUUGCUAUAUGAAAGCAUGUUGUAAAACGAUUAGGAGAUAUCACACUUUCACAGUUUAUAUAGUUACAUGUAUAGCUAAACUCGUACACACUAUGUUUAUUCUAAGAAUCGACUAAACCGUAGCUCUAAUACCAAUAAAUGUAACACCUCUAACCUGUAUCCGUCGCCAGAACAGGGUUACGAACCAUUACAGGAAUUUUCAAAUUAAACGAACACAUAAUUAUAAACAUUUCAUAUCAUAUCAAUAUUCAUAUUUAAAACAAUAAAAAUCAUACAUAAUAUCCCUUAUACGAGCCCUCGAGGCCCUAAAUACACAUUAGAAAUAAGUCGAGACUAAAUCGAAAACUCAGAGAAUUUUUUAGAAAACUUUGAAAAUUUUCAACAUUGUAAGGGUCACACGUCCAAGAGACACGCUAGUGUCUCAGGCCGUGUGUGCAUUCGAAAUAGGGACACACGGUCGUGUCCCAGCCCGUUUCCGUGCCCAUGUAACUCACUAACUUGGUCACACGGCCAAGCCACAUGCCCUUGUACCAGGCUGUGUACCCUUUGAAAUAACCUCACACGCCCGUGUGUCAGGCUGUGUGCUAGGCCGUGUAACAGCCUGACUUGCAACUCUUCAAAAGCUACAGGGAACACACAGCCGUGUCACCUAGCCGUGUGUCACACACGGCUGAGACACACGCCCGUGUCUGUGCUCGUUUGGACGAAAAUAGGCCAUUUUACAAGUCAUUUUUCCUCACCCAUCAAGGCAUAUACCUACAAUAAAAAAUGCACAUAUAUACAAGCCAUAUCAAGGUAUCCAAAUCAAUCAUAAGCAAGUCCUAUACAUAUGGUAUAACAUCAUACAACCAAUAUGCCUUUAGGCACCUCAAAUGACAAUAUAUAAAUAUGUCUAACCAUGUAUUCCAUUUGACCAAAUAAUCAACUAACUUAUAUGCAUAUUUGCAUCAAUAUAUAUCAUGUAAUUUACUUACCAAAUAAAUACCAAAUGGUACUAAUCAUGCCAUUCAACCACUAGAAUCUAUAAUCAUUUAAGUCAUUCAAACAAAGUACCAAUUCUCAACAUUUCUAACAAGUCAUAGGCCAUAUAUAAUAUGUAUGUUCAACCAUCAUUUCAUCUUCCAUCAUUCAACCAUAUUAAGUCAUUCAUCAACCAUUAUAAGGCUAAUAUUUACAUGCCAUGAACUAAGCUCAUAUCAUCAUCAAAGUGCUAAAUCACAAGCCAAACUGAAUGACCAUUUUCAACAACCAAACACAUCGCCAACAUUAGCCAAAACACUUAUACAUGCCAUUAUAACAAAAAUUAAACAGCCGAAUGUACCAAAACAAUCGAUGGAUAGUGUGAUAUAGCUCCAACAAGCCUCCAACCCAAACGAGUUUUCAAUACACUAUAAAACACGAAAAAAUAACACUAAGUAAGCAUUUAAGCUUAGUAAGUUCGUUUAACAUAGAAUUUAACUUACCAUUUAGUCAUAUAAUAGGUAAGUAAACAUAGCAUAUCCCAACACAAUUUGGUCAAAUGCCUAAUUACAUAUACACCAACCAUGUUAGCCAUGUAAAUACAUAUAUAAACCAAUAUUCAUGGAUGAGCACAACAAUUGCGUAAGUUUCAUAUACAUGUAUCUUCCAAUUCUAGUUUCCAUAUACCAUGUAACAAUAUUUCCAUAUAAUUCAUAUGUACCAUUGUAAUAAUCCGUAAUGAACCCUUACCAUUUCAUAUAAGAAUAAUGCCCUUUGAACCAUUUAGAAUAUCGUUGGAUACCCAGGAUAGCUCACACUGUAACACCUCUUACCCGUGUUCAUCGCCGAAACAGGGUAAAAAGUAUUAUCAAACAUAAAAUACAUAUUUUCAUACAAUCGGAGUUUUUUUUAUAAAAUUUUUGACAUAAUCCUUUUUACAAAUGUCUAAUCCCUCCUAUAAAUUUUCAAAACGUAAUCUCAAACCAAUUCAAUAUUUCAACUAAUACAGCUAUAUACUUAAACAUAAUUAAAUUAUUCACGACAUUCAAGGUAACCUCGCUAGCAUUUUAAAAAAAGCAACCUAUCAAUUAAUAUACAUUAACAUCUUAAGCCAAGUAGUAAUUACUAUAUAUAUACAUCACAUUAACAUUAAGUCUUCUAUACAUGCCAUAAUUCAGAAAUAUUGGUUUCAAAAUACAAAAAGAUGUAGAUAGUAAGGAUGAUCCCCAACUCUGUCCGAAUUCCGAGAUGAUUUGUAACACUAUAAAACAUGAAAAAAGAAAGAGAAGUAAGCAUAUAACUUAGUAAGUACGUAUGUAAUUGAUAAAAAAAUUUAAAACAUGUUUCCACAGAUAACAUAAUUUUAAUCAACCAUAAAUUUGAUAUUUACUCAAAUUCCAGCAAACUAUUUUUCUACGUCGCAGUCACUAAAUUAUUUUUAUCCGAAGCUACGGAACUCAAAAUUAUGUUCCAUAAAAUUUCCCUAAAACUAGACUCAUAUACCGUCUUAUAAUAAAAUUUUCAGAAUUUUUUACUUGUCCAAGUACAGUUUUUUCUUUUAAGUCGCCCAUGUUUCACUGCUUAACAUCUAUGACCUCUCUUCACUAAAAGUGAAUUAUCUCACUGUACAGAAUUUGGAUGAUAUUUUAAUUUAUUUCUUUUGAAAAUAGACUCAUUAUGGAUUCUAAGCAUAUAAAUUAUAUCUCAUUAUUAUUUUUUUUUACAAUUUUUAAUAAUUUUUCCAAGUCAGAAUAGGGGAUUUCGAAAUCAAUCCGACCCUGCCUCACUGAAAUUCAAAUAUCUCAAAAUAUACAACUCUUUUGCUUGAUCUGCUUCUUUUAUAUGAAAGUAGACUCAUUAAGAUUUAAUUCCAUAUCUCAUUCUACCAAUAACUCAAUUUCUACAAUUUUUGGUGAUUUUUCAAACUAACAUCACUUCCACUAUUCGAAUUUGUUCUGUUUCAAUUUCACUCAUUUACAUAACAUUACAACAAUUUAUUUUGUAAGCACAGUACGAAACUUCAUUACUCCAGUUACUCUUUAGCAAAUUAACACACUUCAAUCACAUGCUCACAUUUUUUUAUCAAUACUCAUAUCCGGUUGAACACGUCGGUAUAAUGGCGAAUCUUCGGUGGUUUGCACAUAGUACCACCCGUGUAAUUAUUAUCAUUCGAUACACGUUGUAGCCUUCACAUAGUACUACACACGUGAUCAAACUUUCCGGUUCACAUAGUAGCCUGCACAUAGUACUACACACGUGACCAAAACCUUUCGGUACACAUAGUAGCCUGCACAUAGUACUACACAUGUGACCAUUAUCUAUCGAUACACGUAGUAGCCUGCACUUAAUACUACACACGUGUUUAUAGGCACUUUAUUCAAGCUUUUCUUAUUCCGAAAGUCCCACAGAGAUUUUUACUUUUCAAGGAUUUACAAUUUAUCCGUACACAAAUCACAAUUUCAAUAUUUCAGUCCAAUCCCAUAACAAAUUUAACAAAUUUAAUAAUUUCAGUCCUUUUGACUAAUUGAGUGCCCAAACGUCAAAAUUUUCGAACGAAAUUUUCACGAAAUCUUUCCGUGAAAUUGUAGACCAUAAAAAUAUAAUAAAAAUAAAUUUUUCCUCUUCGGAUUUAUGGUCUCGAAACCACUAUUCCGACUAAGCCCUAAAUCGGGCUGUUACAACUCUCCCCCUUUAGAGAUUUUCGUCCUCGAAAAUCUUACCGGAAAAGAGGUUUGGAUAUUUUUUCUCAUAACUUCCUCCAGUUCCCAUGUAGCUUCUUCCAUUCCAUGUUUUUGCCACAACACUUUCACUAAAGCUAUAUUUUUAUUCCUCAACUAUUUGACUUCCAGAGCCAGAAUCUUAAUCGGUUCCUCCUCAAAAGUCAAAUCUUAUCGAAUUUCAAUUUCUGUCGGAGAAAUUAUAUGUGAAGGAUCAGAACGAUAUCGUCAUAACAUUGACACAUGAAAUACAUUAUGUAUCCUUUCCGACUCUGCUGGCAAAGCUAACCGAUAAGCCAGGGGUCCAAUCCUUUCAAUAACUUCAUACGGCCCAAUAAAACAUGAACUCAAUUUACCUUACGGCCAAAUCUCAAAAUCUUCUUCCACGGAGAUACUUUCAAAAAUACUUUAUCGUCCACUUGAAACUCAAUUUCUUUUCUCUUUAAAUCUGCAUAUGACUUUUGUCGGUCUGAAGCAGCUUUCAAACAAUCACGGAUUACUUUCACUUUUUCUUCAGUUUCUUUCAUCAAGUCAACCCCGUGAAUCUGUUUCUCACUGAGCUCAGUCCAAUACAAAGGGGUUCUACACUUACGUCCAUAUAAUGCUUCAUACGGUGCUAUUUGUAUACUCGACUGAUAGCUAUUGUUGUAGGCAAAUUCAACCAAUGGUAGAUAUUUCUCCCAACUGCCUUCAAAUUCUAAGAUACAACAUCGGAGCAUGUCUUCAAGAACUUGAAUUACUCUUUCAGAUUGUUCGUCAGUUUGCAGAUGGAAUGCAGUACUAAAGUUCAAUUUUGUACCCAAGGCUUCUUGCAACUUUUUCCAAAACCUUGAAGUAAACCUCAGAUCUCUAUCCGAAAUAAUGGACUUAGGCACCACGUGCAACCUCACAAUUUUAGCAACAUAUAACUCCACCAACUUGUCAAGUGAGUAAUCAAUACGUACCGGUAUAAAAUGGGCUGAUUUCAUCCAUCUAUCAACGAUUACCCAAAUAGCAUCUUUCUUCCUAGGAGUCAGAGGCAAACCCGUCACAAAAUUCAUCGUGAUUCUGUCCCAUUUCCACUCAAGAAUCAUUAAUGGUUGAAGUAGACCCGAAGGUACUUGAUGUUCAGCUUUUACUUGUUGACAAAUCAAACACUUUGAUACAAAUUCAGAAAUAUCCUUUUUCAUGCCCGGCCACCAAUACAAUUUCUUCAAAUCAUUCUAAAUUUUCGUACUACCUGGGUGAACUGAUAAACUACCAUUGUGUACCUCAUGUAAAAUUGUCCGAAUCAACUCAUCAUCUUUCGGUACACAUAUCCUAUCUCGGAACAUUAGACAAUCAUCUGAUCUAAUUCGAAAAUCUGAAUCACAACCUGAUUCAUCCUGAGAUCUCUUGACUUGUAAUUCACUAUCAUUCUUCUGAGCUUCACUAAUUUGCUGCAAAAAUAAUGGUCUAGCUUUCAACUCAGCCAAAAUUGAACCAUCCUCAGACAAAGCUAAACUCGUAUCCAUGGUUCUCAAAGCAAACAAGGAUUUUCUACUCAAAGCAUCAACGACUACAUUUGCCUUUCCUGGGUGGUAAUCAAUAACUAACUCAUAAUCUUUUAUUAAUUCAAGCCAUCAUCGUUGUCGCAAAUUCAAAUCCUUUUGAUUCAUCAGAUACUUCAAACUUUUAUGAUCAGUAAAGAUUUGGCAUUUCUUACUAUACAAAUAAUGACGCCAAAUUUUUAAAGCAAAAACGAUAGCAGCUAAUUUCAAGUCAUGCGUCGGAUAAUUCUUCUCAUGUGGUUUCAGCUGCCUCGAAGCAUAAGCUAUUACUCUACCUUCUUGCACUUAGCACACAUCCAAGACCAUUCAACGAUGCAUCACUGUAAAUUAUAAACUCUUCCCCUGUCUCAAGUUGCACCAACACCGGCGCUUCAGUCAAUAACGCCUUCAAUUUCUCAAAACUUUGUUGACAUUUAUCAGUCCAUUCAAAUUUGACAUUCUUUUGCAAUAACUUAGUCAUAGUAGAAGCAAUCAUUGAGAAUCCUUUAACAGAACGUCUAUAAUACCUAGCUAAGUCCAGAAAACUUCUAACCUCGGAUACAUUCUUUGGCGGCUCCCAAUUAACAAUUGUUGAAAUUUUACUCGGAUCAACCCGAAUACCAUCACUUGAAACUAUGUGUCCCAAAAAUCCGACUUCAUGAAGCCAAAACUCACUUUUACUAAAUUUAGCAAAUAACUUCUUCUCUCUCAAAAUCUGCAACACAGUUCUCAAAUGCUCAGCGUGCUCGGAUUCAUCCCGAGAAUAGAUUAAAAUAUCAUCUAUGAACACCACUACAAACUUAUCCAAAUACGGUCAAAAAAUUCGGUUCAUCAAGUCUAUAAAAAUAGCCGAAGCGUUAGUUAAACCAAAAGGCAUCACUAGAAAUUCGUAAUGUCCAUAUCUCGUUUUGAAAGAAGUUUUUGGCACAUCUGACUCUUUAACUCCCAAUUGAUAGUAACUUGAUCUCAAAUCAAUCUUUAAAAACACUGUUGCUCCCUUUAACUGGUCGAACAAGUCAUAAAUUCUUGGCAACGGAUACUUGUUCUUUAUAGUUACUUUGUUGAGGUGACGAUAGUCAAUACAAAGUCUCAUAGAACCAUCUUUCUUUUUCACAAAUAAUACAGGAGCACCUUAGGGAGAAAAACUCGGUCUCACAAAUCCCUUAUCUGUCAACUCUUGUAACUGAGAUUUUAGUUCUUUUAAUUCGGUUGGAGCCAUUCUAUACGGAGCAAUAGAGAUCGGUGCAGUCCCAGGUAACAAAUCAAUAGCAAACUCAACUUCUCUAAUUUGAGGUAAUCCAGGCAAUUCCUCUGGAAACACAUCCGGAAAUUCACAAACUACUGGUACUGAUUCAAGCUUCGACUCAGUCAUCUCAGUGUUUAACACAUAAGCAAGAUAAGCUUCACACCCUUUUCUCAAAUAUUUUUGGGUAGACAUGUGCGAAAUCACCAUAGGCAAUUUAUUUGAUUCAUCUGUUUCAACCUGAAGAAUUUCACCAGUUUCACAUUUCAAUUUAAGAAUUUUCUAUCUACAGUUCACCUUGACAUCAUGCAAAGUCAACCAAUCCAUCCCCAAAAUAACAUCAAACUCGUCAAAUGGUAACAACAUCAAAAUUUCCGGAAAACAAUGACCUUGAAUCAUUAAAGGGAAAUUCUUGAAAACCUUAUCGACUAACACAUAUUUGCCUAAAGGGUUUGACACUUUAAUCACGAAUUCAGUAAAUUCAAAAGGAAAAUUCUUAUUAUAUACUAAAUUCACACAAACAUAAGAAUGAGUAGGCUUGGGAUCAAUCAAUGCAAUAACAUUAGUGUCAUAAAGAGAAAAUGUACCAGUAAUCACAUCGGGAGAUGAUGCAUCCUCCCGAGUACAUAUAGCAUAAGCUCUAGCAGGUGUUCUAGUUUCUGGUCUCACAGCUAUAUCUCUCAUUUCACUUUUACUGCUAGCUCUGUUUCUGGUAUUUCUCAAGGGUCUAGCUCUGCUAACAGUAUCACCCGAUCUAACAUUCUGAAAAUUUUCUUCUUCAACUUUCUCAGGGCAAUCUUUAAUGUAGUGUUAUCGAGAACCACACUUGAAACAAGCUCAGCUAAUUAACCAACACUCACCAGGAUGUUGCCUUCCACAAUAUUGACACUCAGGUUUAUUAGACUUCACACUACCCACACUUACUAUUGAAGUAGCUUGAGCUUUCGAAUUCGAAUAUGAUCUCCCACGAUCUCGGUAAGAAUACCUAGUUGAAGCAGUCGAUCGAGAAUUCACUUCUUUGAACUUCUUUGACUGAGUUUGGAAUGACUUACUUAUUGGUCUUUUUCUUGCAUCCCGAGCCUCCAUCACAGCUUUUCUCUUUUCUUUAUUCAAUUCUUCAGCCUUGCAAGCUCGAUCAACCAGUACCACAAAUUCAUUCAGUUCCAACAUCCCAACAAACAUUCUGAUAUCUUCAUUUAACCCGUCUUCAAACCUUUUAUUCAUAAUAGCUUAUGUGGGCACACACUCUUGAGCAUAUUUACUAAGUCUAACAAACUCUCUUUCAUAUUCUACCACAGACAUUCGGCCCUCCUUUAAUUCGAGAAAUUCCUUACGUUUUUUAUCGAUGAACCUUUGACUUAUGUAUUUCUUUCUGAAUUCCUCUUGGAAGAAAUCCCAUGUAACCCUUUCUUUCGGAACCAUAAAUACUAAUGUUUUCCACCAACGAUAUGCUGAAUCUUUUAGUAAAGAUAUGGCACAUUUUAAACAUUCUUCAGGAGUACAUGAUAAUUCAUCAAAUACCUGAAUAGAAUUUUCAAGCGAAAAUUCUGCCUUCUCGGGAUCAUCAUCUAUGUUAGCCCUGAAACCUUUUGCCCCUUAUUUUUAGAUUUUAUCAACUGGGGGUUUUCUCGGUUUUACUAAUUCAUCACCUUGUGAAGCUACAAGAAUCGGUUGAGGAAUAGGAGGGGUGAAGGAGGUUGAACAUUCGAAUUUGCUCGAAUAAACUCUGUGUACCAAUUAUUCAUCAUAUGAAGGAAGGCUUCUCGAGCCUCAUCCUAACUAUGUGUUUCAGUUCCAUGUCUACUUUCCUCAGGCGCGGUCCCUUGCGCGGGAGCCGGCGCAUUGGUUUCUACAUCAUCCGCUACAGCUCGGUCGGGAUCCAUUUACUAUAUAAAAACACAAUUUUUAAAUUGUCAGAAUCAUCACACUAUUACAA
rnacentral:lncRNA from 1 species